UCGACCACAGCGUUUGUUAAAUGCACCAAUAAUAUACUGGUUAAAACUAUGAUCAAUAGAAUCGCUGCCAUAGAUAUACUCAUUAGAGAAUAAAGACAAUAUUAUUCAGGGACUUCCUCACCUUUUUAAAACGAAAUGUGUAAUUUGCGAAGGAUUUCGUUAGUAUUUCUUGCAGAUUUCACGACCACAUAGAGGUUUCUCCGGUGGCUUGGACUUUCUUGUUGACAUAAAUUUUCGUUCAAAUCGUAGCUUUUAGUCACAACGCUGCAAUGACAGGUAACGAGGGAUAUAAAAUAUUUACUGUUGUAUUUCUGCACAGAGAUCGUAAAAUUAGAGAAGCGACUGUAAAUUCUUAUUACUCCUAAGUUGAUGAAAUAAGUACCAAUAAUAACAAAAGAUACUAUCGAUUAGCCGCUUUAUAGGCUCUUCGUUGCGAAAAUUGAAUUUUGGGAUUAUGAAGAGAAUCCAAUUUCGGUAAAAAUCCACAUCCAGCAUAAAUGCCCAUGAAACCAUAGGAAAUAAAAGAAGGGGUUCUCAUGGAGAGAAAUAAAAAGAAAAUGACAAAGAAAGAGUGACAGUGAGAGGGAUAAAGAGAGUGAGAGAGAGAGUGAGAGAGAGACAGAAAGAAUAACUGGGAGACAAACAUCUGUAAAUCUUUAAUUUCAUUUUGUAUUCAAGGUUUUAACUAAGAAACCUUAUAGAGAUACAGCGAAAAAAAAGGACGACAAGGUUAAUACAAGUACACACGCACAAUUGCACACAAAUACACACAGAUAUAUAUAUAUAUAUAUAUAUAUAUAUAUAUAUAUAUACAUAUAUAUAUACAUACAUACAUUUUUUUUAUCAGUCGUUCAUAGAUGAAACUACAUCUUCAUGUCAUAAUUUUUUUCUGUGCAAAAUAUUAUCGUUGAACAGUUUCCUUUUCAGAGAGAUCCUUCUCCAAGAAGGAUUAUCCUCACUAUGACAUGUGAGCACCAUUGACUCUUGACUAUACAGGAUUGUCAUUGACUUUCCUGAGCUGCUCCGCCCUUUGACGGGUCUUGUCCGAAAUUCACCUUCCUCACCAAGGAACUUGACGGGAUUGCUGGUUUAGUCGCCGACGAUUUGACCAAGCAACAGAGUGUCCUGGGUUACAUAUUACCAAUAGCGAAAGAGCGACCUAGCAUACAUACAUAGUCACACAUACAUACACAUACAUACACAUGCAUACAUUCGUAUACGCAGUUUAGUCUCAUAAUGGAAAGUAAACCGACGUGUUUUUCUCUUCGUAGGCAGAAAGAAAAACUCAUCUGACUUGCUUUUAGUCCUAGCCUUGUUACCAUCUUCGCUCUACAGAGAAAUUGUUAGUUUAUCGUAUGUGUAAGUUCUAUAUAAAACAUGACAGGGCUAAAUGAAUCUCACGAAUUUCUGUUGAAAUUAGUGUAGAUUUCACAGCGAUGCAGAAUUGCAUCUUUAAAAAGUAUACUUGGCAUUCCAAAUUAUCGCCCAAACGAUGUGUAGUGUUCUACAUGGAUAUGUUUGUGCAUGUGGCUGGUGGUUUACAAUGAGUGCUUAAUUUCAGUAUUUACGCUUCAGAUUUGUACGAUUAUCCUCAUCAUCUCAUCUUUGCAGUUGUUAAAUUCUUUAUUGUGAAACUCUUCUUAAUCUUUGGAUAAUGUUAAUCAAUAUAUAUACAUAUAUUCAUACGUAUGUAUGUAUGUAUGUAUGUAUGUAUGUAUGUAUGUAUGUAUGUAUGUAUGUAUGUAUGUAUGUAUGUAUGUAUGUAUGUAUGUAUGUAUGUACGUACGUAUGUAUGUAGAUAUGUAGAUAUGUAGGUAGGUAGGUAGGUAGGAAGGUCUAAAAGUAUGCAGACACUUUUAGUGAUGCAAAUAAGAGAACGAACGUUCAAUAUACAUUGUAGACUUUAUUCGGAAAAUUCAUCUUUUUUUGUCGCCUGAGCGAUCGCACGUAACGAGAAACUCUGCCACAGAAUGAAUUAUCAACCUCUUACAAACAGCCCCACGACAUAUGCAUACACACACACACACAUAUAUAUAUAUACAAAUAUACAUACACACAUAUAUAUAAAUAUAUAAACACGCAUGCAUACAUAUACACACUCAGAUGUACAUAUAUAUACGUGUGUGUGUGUGUGUGUGUGUGUGUGUGUGUGUGUGUGUGUGUGUGUGUGUAUGUGCGUGUAUGUGUGUAUGUUUGUGUGUGAGUGCUGCUGUGCGCAUGUCUGCACAUGCGUAAGCAUAUACGGCAUGAGCAGUAGACCAAGAGUAAAAGAGGGAGAGUUAGUAGUGCAUAUCUGAACAUUCCUACAGUGAAGUGAAGUUACAACCAAGAAACAUUUACAUCAUCGAAGACCAAUCGAUAAAGAAACUGUGAUCAAAGUGGAACAACAAAUGAACUAAAAUAAUCAAUACAUAAAAAUCCGGCGGGAGUGGGGCACAUGGGGAGCUCGGGGUGCAUGGAGCGCUUGGGGCGCAUUCAGAAAAAAAGGUUGUGGGGAAGGAAAAGAAUGACGAGGAAAGGAAGCGUUUAGUAUAAUAAUUAUUGUGUUGAAAUAUAUUGAUUAAGUAAUAAUUUAAAAUAGGAGCAAUCGAUUUCUGAAACUGAAGAUUGCUUUGAGAGAUUUUAUUGCAGAGAAUACUGAGUAUUACUGCUGCUGCUACUAGUAAGACUACUAUUCAGACCAGUAAUAGUAAGUAUUUCUGAUAUUGUUACAAGACCAUAAAUUUUGCUGCUUGAAACAAACGUUUAAAUCGCUUCCAGUGAUUCAAUGCUGUGCAUAUUCUCUUCUCCUACGGCAAGACGAAUGGCAAGUGUAAUAUUAGUGUGAUUUCAGCUUGAAAGAGCAAGGACUGAAUUUGAUUACCGUGAAACAUAAACAUGUUUAUGCAACAGACCGUUCCACUAGUAAUUCUUUCUACUAAAGGAAAAUGCUUGAAAUUUAGGGAGAAAGUGGGUAGUCGAUUGCACUGACCCUAGUACUCGACUGGUACAUAUUUUAUCAAUUUUCGAAAGGAUGAAAGACAGAAUUCGAAAUUAGACAUGUGUGACAAACCUGUUGCAUACUUAUUAUUAUUAAGUGCGAGAGCAGUGCAUGUCAUCAAAGUGACACUGGGGUUAAAUAUAUGAAGCUCAGUAUACCCAUUAUGACUACCUGUCUGAUAAGGGUACACCAGGCACAUGCAUCACAACCAGAUGUGGGCAACAUAGUAAUCUCAUAUCAAGAUAAACAGCGCAAGACCUUGCAAGUGGGGCCCAGUUAUAAUGUUCUUUAGAUCAAGUAGCCCUUCCCGCUCAAAAGGUCCCUGAAUAAGGGUUGUUUAAGGAUUUUGAACGAACCACCCAUGUUUCCAAAAGUGAAUUAUCCAAACCCCAAAGAAUCCCUCUCGACACGUAGCUAUGAUGCUCUCCCACUACUUCCGCUCGUGAUUAGAGAUGCACAUAUCAUCAGUCACAAAGGGACAUACUCAACUGGUUAAGGUCAAACAAUUUACAAGCAAAUCUGAGGUAUUGAGCAGAAUAUUUGCUGAGGCCUAUCUUUUAUACCAAGACAAAACAAUGUACAUGAUAACACUUCCAAACAGUUAAGAUCAGAAGUCAUGAGAGCUACUGCCUGGUACUGCAUCAGAGCAUUUAUUAUUAUUAUUAUUAUUAUUAUUAUUAUUAUUAUUAUUAUAUGGCAAUAACCAGUAAAAAAGCUAUGUUGGAUUGGAUUUAUUCCUAGUCUGCUACAUAAUGGAAGAAUUUGACGAAUGCAAACAAACAUACAUUUUAAAAGCCUUCCUUCGAAGGCCACCAUGUUUUAUUGUUUCUUUGGUUAACCUUUUGCAGCAUACUAGAUGAGAAGAGGUUAGUAGCCUUCCGUACAAUCCUCUUCCAUUUCCAGAAGGAAGAAUGCACUGUGAGUGCUGCCCCUUGUCUCGUCUCAAUCCUGUGUAAACUAUUAAGAGAGUCAGUGAAAAAGACAGUAAGAAAGAGAGGUGGGGAAUAAAUAACUCCAAUGAUAGAGAAUUAUUAAAGCCGGUGUAGUAUAAGGGGUGAAUAAAAAACGAAACGAAUCGGACAAACUGUCGCCAGGAAUUUUUCGAUGUUCAAAAGAUUUUGCCCAUUGACAAACCUUUUUCUGUAUCUAUCGGGGGCUAUUUCAGUGUAUAUUAUUGCUAUUAACUACUAGACUAUUAACAUAUGAACAGUUUUUGCUACGUAACUAAAUGUUUGUGACUGAUUUCGUUUUUCGUAUAAGCCGCUUCAUUUUUCACAUAACCUGGAGGUCGUCUCACUCCUGACACGUUAAAUAGAGCCGGUUUGUGUAAUUAAUAUCACAAUAACUUGCUAAAAAUGUAAAUUAUCGGCGAACGAAAACAAGAAAUUGUUUCAUUUAGUAAUUAAUCAUUGAUCAAAAGACAAAAUAAAAUAUAUACGAAGUUCGUAGCUUACAUAAUUUCUGAAAUAACAGACGAGGGUGAUAGCCAAACUAUCAAUCAAAUUGACUUGGUCCACAUAAACAAAACAAAAUCUAACGGGUUUCAUGACUGGAUACGUUGGUAAUGGCGCACAAUGAGGUUUCUUAGCUUUGGCUCAAGGCCAGACAACGGUAUGGUUAAUUAAAUCGAUACGACUGCAAGAUCGGUAUUUAUUUGAUCGAUCUCGGAUAAAUGGAAUGUGAUCAAUAGGGUAUGAGAGAUUCGAAAGUGCGUCGAACAAAAUUCCUUGAAGUAUUUGAUUCCAUCUCUUCAAGUUCCGAAUUCAAAUCGCACCAAAUUUGAUGAAAUAGAAUAAACAGCAAAAUGGGAAUGUGGCGAAGAAUAUCAUUUCGUCCCCAAACGGUUCCACGUUCGAUAUACACAGACGCGUCUAUACGUGUGUGUGUGUGUGUGUGUGUGUGCCUGUGUGUUUGUGUGUGUGUAUGGUGAGUGCAUGUGCACGUGCGUGUUUAUACUGUAUGUAUGUAUAUAUAUAUAUAUAUACUGUAUAAUAUAUAUAUAUAUAUAUAUAUAAUUAAAAGAAAUAGACUCUUUUAAGUAAUUCAAUAGUGAAAGACAUUAUCUAUAUUAUAUAGAAAAAUAGAGGUUAUUUCUCUUAAUUAUAUACAUAUAUUAUAUAUUGGGAAAUGUGAUUUAGAAUUGCUAAAUUGAAUUUUUCCCUGUAAGUUUGGAAUUAUAUUCCCUACUAUCACUAUUAUUUACAUAUAUAUACAUGUAUGUAUGUAUGUAUACUGUAUACUAUAUAUAUAUAUAUAUGUAUUAUAUAUAUAUGUAUACAUUGAGAGAGACAGACAGACAGGCGGGUAUAUAGAUAGAUAGAUAGUCACAGAGAGAGUGAGAAAUACAUAUAUGCGUGUAUAUGUGUGAAUAAAUGUAUGCAUGUUAAUAUAUGUACAUGCGUAUUUAUAUAUGUAUGUAUGUAUUUUUGUAUGUAAGCAUGUAUGCCUAAAAUUAUCCCCGCCAUCUCCAUAUAUAUAUUUUGAUUCUAUAUUACUUAAUGUCUUAUAAUCCACCAUUAAAAUACAACCCAAUGGAGUCAGAAUGAGGCACUGCCAUCAUUUCUCAACCGCCAGUCGAUGAAUUCAAAACCUGAAUAUUAGUAGAGCCUCUCAUACAGGGAUUUAAUCUUGGCUCCAUAAAAAAAAAAAAACAGUAUUUUCCCCAGAGUAAUUCCCCACAUAAUAUCUGAUAUUUACCUUUGUCUCUUUUCUUCUCUUCUUUCAUGUAUUUGCAUACAAUUCCGUUCGAAGUAAAUAUACGUUGCCAUUAUCUAGAAAUACAUUUAAAAGCCGUUAUUGUCUUGGGAAUAACUAAAUGUUAUAGCAAUAUUAGGAAUUAAUAUAUACAUACAUACAUACAUACAUACAUACAUACAUACAUAUAUAUAUAUAUAUAUAUAUAUAUACAUACAUACAUACAUACAUACAUACAUACAUAUAUAUAUAUAUAUAAUAUAUAUAUAAUGUAUAUAUAUAUACAUACAAACAUACAUACACAUAGACAUAUAUGUGUAUUCGCCAUGAUUGAUCGCUAGCCACUAAACCUUUUUAUUAUUUUCUCUCCCAGUUUAUUUCUGUGUUCCUUUCUGUUGAAGAGCGUAGGCUCGAAACGUAAAAGACUUUCUCACUUCCCGAGCGUUAAACUAAUACAUCCGUUUGUUAUUUACAUACCCGUCUUCUUUUGUUUUGUUAGUUUUUCUUUGUAAGUUCCAUCUAUAUAUAUAUAUAUAUAUAUAUAUAUAUAUAUACAUACUUACAUACAUACAUAUACAUAUAUACAUAUAUAUAAUAUAUAUAUAUAUAUAUAUAUAUAUAUAUAUAUAUAUAUAUAUAUAUAUAUAUAUAUAUAUAUAUAUAUAUAUAUACAUUAAUCAAUAUAGGGUGGCAAAAAAUUUUGUAGAAUUUUAUAUAUAUAUAUAUAUAUAUAUAUAUAUAUAAUGCUAAAUCAUUCAGGACUAUUAAGUUCAUCUGACCAUUAUACUCACGAGGCCAAACGAGUUUGAAAAUAUAAAUAUAUAUAUAUAUAAUACCUGUUAUAUUUUGUUAAGAUCAUAGUAGAGUACAGUAUAAUGCUUAUCCACCUUCAGAUUUCACCCUGUUGGCUCAAACAUAUUCAACCAUAUAUAUAUAUAUAUAUAUAUAUAUGUAUGUAUGUAUGUAUGUAAGUACGUAUGUACGUAUGUACGUAUGUGUGUAUGUAUGUACGUAUGUAUGUAUCUAUGUAUGUAUGUAUAUGUAUGUAUGUAUGUAUGUAUGUAUGUAUGUAUGUAUGUAUGUAUGUAUGUAUGUAUGUAUGUAUGUAUGCAUGUAUGUAUGUAUGUAUGUAUGUAUAUGGCAAUAACAACGUCGAAAAUGGAAGUGUUAGGUUGUCAAAAAUGGGACGGAAUAACAUACUAUCACCUCCCAUAAUUUAAUUCCUAUGUACAAAGAUCUCCAAUUUCCAAUGCCAUUUUCCUUCUGUCCAUAUAGAAAUCAAAUUCGAUCAUAGAAUAAUGAAAUAUAAGCUGAAUGGUAUUUGAUCUUUACGAUGUCCGUAUAUUUUUCAAACUCGUUUGGCCUCGUGAGUAUAAUGGUCAGAUGAACUUAAUAGUCCUGAACGAUUUAGCAUUUCAAGAAGCGGCAUUUUUGCCAUCAGAACUGUGAAAGUUUAGGAUUUCUUAUGAAGUGGUUAUUAUGUUGACGCAACCCUGGCAGAUAUUUUAGAGCUUACAGCUACUAACAGACAAUACUCGAGCCAGCAAGCAAAUCUCCUGUUUAUUAUCAGUGAAAUCUUCUUCAAGACACACAGAACUCUCUUUGCGAAAGAGAGAAACUUUAGACUAUGUAGUCUUCUAUAUGAAAAAAGACGUAGGUGGCUGAAACUGAAAUAACUUUGAUAAUAGCUUAGCUCAGGGUGAAUCGCUGUGGGAUUCAGCAACAGCAAAUAGUAAAUAAUUCGCGUUGUAGCUUCGUAUACAAUUAAAUAGAAAAUGUGGUAGUAAUACAAUAUUUGCGGCAAUACUUAUGCAAUCGAAAAAUAUAUUACAAAGACACGUAAGCCUAAAUACAGGUGAGCAUUAAUAUAUUUGAGCAUCAAUAGAUGUGAACAUCAAUACACGUAGAUGUGAAUAAUGUCAGCUUAAGUCUUUGUGGACACGUGGGCAUCAAUGUGCGUACAUAUCUAACUUCAAAGAUUAAUUGGGCAAAUUUUGAAAGGAUAUUAUUUGUAUAUAUUCAGAAAAUUCGGAGAAGUUGCUACGGGCCAUUUAUGAUUUGAAAUAUAAAUACACUGAUAAUGAAAAAGCAGAGCUAGUCUGAAGAAGGAUCUUACAAGUCUUUAGUUUACCCAAAGAAUAAAAUCUACGUUGAUAUUCUCUUUCUUUUAAUGGCUUUCACUUCCAAUUAAUGUUGAGCAAUAUUUAACAAGGCAAAACAACUGAGUCUUUCUUUCUUCACGGUUGAUUGGCUCAGUGACUUCAACCUCUGCAGCACAGAUACUGAUUAUUCACAUAUUGAAGAACCAACCCGUAGACAAAAUGGUAAGGAACAAAUGGAUCCGACUAAAGAAGCAGACUGUGUGAAUUUUCUUCGAAACGUAUCGAAAUCUAUUGAGAAUCCUGAUAAAAUGAGUUUGGAUUUGUCAUUUCUCCACACAUUACUCCCUGGUUGCUGCUAAAACUCAAGGCAGCAACUGAUCUAUUUUACAGGGAACAAGACACAGAGUUUAAAGAACAUGAAUUAAACUUAGAGAAGACCUUACCUUUAACGAGAAUAUACGAUCGUAACUGUUUUGGCGGUAAUGCUGUUCAAUCAAAUUACUUGGAAGUUUGACCAUUGACUUUGCUAUCGCUUCUCCUGUUAGCAACGGAUUCUGUGUUGUGUUUGAGAUUGCUUUAACUAAAACAUAAAUACCGUUAAUCGCAUAGUCCUACGUUUUAAUCUACAUAAUCUGCUGUUAAAUACUACACUUGCACCUAUGCAACUUCUAAGUCACAAUGAAUGCAUGCCAUAAAGGCUGCUUAAAUCUCAGAAAAACCUGAGAAAUUAUCAGUGAAACUAAAUGCCAAAAUUUGUCACCAGGAAUCUAUGAGAGAGCAUCGUUGAAAGAUUAAUGAUUUGAUUCAGAAGCAAUUUUGUCUAGUAUUACUGGUAUAUCUGUAUAACCAGCAAGUGACAAAGAAUGAAUGCCUCUUCGAGAAAAAACUAUCUAAUUUCAGAAAAGAAAAUUUGUGGCUUGGUAUAGCUUGUUUCAAUUCAAUAUUUCAUUCUUAGCUGUACUAUGAUUUAUAUAUUUUCACAUUUUUGUUUGUUUUUUCUUUACACUGAAGUCAACACAAAUCUUCCUUGUGGCCAUAGAAUUAUUGCUGAUGUUAACAUCUUCGCGCCUUUAACUAUAAUAAAUUGCAAUUCCUGGGAACGGCAGCACUAAACAUUCUGCGUUUUAUAUAGCUUCGAUACUUCCUUGAAACCAAUCAUCAUACACUUUCCCGUGCAGUUUGUUAAGUUGCACGUCCAAAUCUUUAUACAUUUUCGACAAUUCCUUUUGUUAUUUUGUCCGUGAACAUAAAUACACCUAAACAUAAGUAAAGUUAUAAAUCUCUUUCGUAAAUACACCUACGUCAACACAUCUGAUUACAUACAAGAGGCCAUCAAAACACAUGAGCACGUGCAUAAGCGUAGGUAAAGAUAAAACAUCAUGUGGAGGAAACAUGCACAAAUACACGGAGUUAAAAUCCACAUGGAUGUAAAUACAUGGACCUACAUACACGUGCAUAUACAUGCGUACAUAAAUGAACAUGGAGGUAAACAUAUACAACGGAAAAUACGUGCAGACGUCAAUAAUAGUUGAGGUAAAUAUAUGUACGUAAAUACACGUACUUAAAACAUGAGGACAUAAAUAUACAUGCAUAAAUACACGUAGACUUAUAUAUAUAUAUACAUGGGCAUAAAUGUGUGUGUAUGAGAGAGAGAGAAAGAGAGAGAGAGAGAGAGAGAGAGAGAGAGAGAGUUGAAUUCAAUUAGAACGUUUUUGCUUUGUGGGGGUUCAAAGUUAGAUUUUUAAUAAAGAUUCUUUAUAUUAAAAUUGUAGUUUACUAAUGUAAAUAUUUAUUUAAGAAAUAUGAAAAUUUAACAAGUAUAAGAGUGUGUUAUGAGCAUUUAUCGGACAUAAUUUUAUAUAAACUUAACUAACAAUUAAAGAUGGAGAAGAGAUGUUAAAAGUCAUAUAAAAGUUAUAUCUUUUACACUGAAGAGAAUGGUAAUACGGAAUUAGAUUAAGUUAAUUUAAUUAUAAUUAUAAUUGAUUAAAUUUUUUCCAUGUUUCUUACAUGUUGAUGUUAUCAUUCGAAACGAUCGUAUGCAUGGAUUAAAAUUUUAUAAAAUCUUUUAACAUCUCCUCUUCUCCAUCUUCAACUUUUUGUUGAGUUUGUAUAGAAUUAUAUCCUUAUAUAACACACCUUAUAUAUAUAUUAUUAAAAAAAUUUUUUUUUAUAUUAUCUAGUUUCCGCUCACGAGCUGUGGCCAUACUGGGGCACCGCCAUAUAUAUAUAUAUAUAUAUAUAUAUAUGGUUGAAUACGUUUGAGCCAACAGGGUGAAAUCUGAAGGUUGAUGAGCAUUAUACUGUACUCUACUAUGGUCUGUAUGUAUAUAUAUGUAUAUAUAUAUAUAUGUGCAUGUAUGUAUGUAUGUAUGUAUGUAUGUAUGUAUGUAUGUAUGUAUGGGCAUAGAUACCAGUGAAUAUAAAUACCCGUUAAACUGAACAGCACGCAAGCAAUUUCUUCAAAUCCUAUAAAAAUGUUCAUUUACAUUUUCGUCCUUUUUGAUGGAAGAGACACAAAAAAUGGUUCGCUUAGUGGAUAGGUCCUAUAAUUCACCAAUAGUCACUGACAAAAGAAUUGGCUUCCGCCAAGUUAGUUGGUGAGACUGGAUUUAAUUCCUGCUGCGCAAAAUUGAAUAUAGUUUGUAAUUGUAACGACGCAGUUAUUAUUUUUUCUAAAACAGAAUUAAACUUAGAUUUCCACUUAAUGAACGUUCCCUAAACUCUUGUGUUUUUCUGCAUAAUUUGAUCAACGUAACAAUAAGUUUUCAACAGCCGCAUAAUUAAGCGAAAUAUUAAAAUAAUAAUUUCCUUGUCAUGUUUGGCGAUUUCAAAUUUUUUCCUAUACAGACAGGGGUUUUUUUUUUCCAUAAAUCUAAUGAAUAAUUUACAGAUUACGAAUUGCAUUGAUUUUCGUCUCGAAACGCAAUAUUUUGGAUUUACGGCUUUCCUUAGCAGACGAUUAUUUACUGUGGAGCUUAGAUAUUGCAUCAAUAUUGUCUUUUCGACUGUUUUAUUACAAAUUCAUGCUGGACUGACCAAUACUGGAACGGAUAUUAUAUAAGCCAUUCCAGGAUUAUUUUGCUUUCCUUUCGAAAUACUGUCUCAUGAUUAUCAAAUAUGGUCAACAACCGCUAAAAUCUAGAUUCACAAUCUGAUAUUUGAUGGUGAUACCAUACAUAUCAACUCAUUUUUAUUCAUAAUAGAAAACGAAAAAAAUGCUAUUUCAACACAAUAAUCCCACUAAUAUCUAAUUUCAAUAUAAAAUAAAAUUUAUAAUUCUUAUUUGGUACAGUAAAUCUCGAAGCAGAUAAACAAACCGCUUCAACUCAAAAAUCUUCUUAACCCAAUAUUUUUCACGGUGUUGUUAAUAGCUUUAUCUAUUCUGAGUAUCACUUUUCCCAAAAAGAAAAAGAAAGAAAGAAAACUAUUUCACGUUCUUGCGAAGUUUAUAAAUCCUCGUCACAUCAACAAUUAUUUAUACAAUAAUUGUGUAAAAAUCAUUUUAAAAUUAUUACACCGAAUGAUUUUGGCCAAAAAGCGACCAGAAUACCACAUGUAUUUGACUACCCUGUAUUUUAUAUAAGAAAUCCUAAAUAUAACCUACAAGGAAAUGAAUUUCAGUAUCAGGCUGCUUUAAGGUGGUUAGCGUAUUUUUUCAAAUAGGGAAGUACAGGUAGGGUCGCCACACGUGUAUUUAAAAUAUUGUCUUUGAGUAGUGUAGGGUUGUUAGUAAAUAUUAUGAAUGUGAAAAACAGUAUUUAAAACAGAAGUGUAUUGUUAAGAACGCAAAAUGAAUGUGUUAAAAGGUCUUUGUAGAAGAGUAAUACAUUAUUUAGGAAGUAAAGUCUCAGUCAAAGUAUUUUUUCGAAGAUGUACAGGUAACGUAAAUUACAGGUAUCUUUUUUUCCUGGGCAAAUGGAUAAUCACACAAUUUCUGAAACAGAAUUGCUUCGUAUUACAAAUAAUUUACCGUCUUCUCUUCUCUGUAAACCCGAAAUGGUUGCGUAAAAUAAAAUAAGGAAUCGUAAAUCGUAAAUCUAACUGAAACUACAGUGUGUUCUUUAAAGAAUUUGAAUCUAUUGUAGAAUGAGUGCACGUGCUUAGAACAGGUUUGGUGUUCGAAAUAAUCCUACUAUUUUAAGACAACAUAAAUUUGGACAGCACCAUUUAAUUUCAAACUGCAUGGAUUUCUGCAUGGACAGCACCAUUUAAUUUCAAACUGCAUAUGAAGGCAGCACUGGCAACCCGAUCAAUGGGAAACUUUCAGGGUCAUAAAUUCCCUCCUCCAGAUUUCUGAGAUUGUUGUCUUUAUUCUCUUUUUACUCUUUUUACUCUUUUUACUCUUUUUACUUGUUUCAGUCAUUUGACUGCGGCCAUGCUGGAGCACCGCCUUUAAUCGAGCAACUCGACCCCGGGACUUAUUCUUUUGUAAGCCCAGUACUUAUUCUAUCGGUCUCUUUUGCUGAACCGCUAAGUUAUAGGGAUGUAAACACACCAGCAUCGGUUGUCAAACGAUGUUGGGGGGACAAACACAGACACACAAACACACACACGCAUAUAUAUAUUUACAUAUAUACGACGGGCUUCUUUCAGUUUCUGUCUACCAAAUCCACUCACAAGGCUUUGGUCGGCCCGAGGCUAUAGUAGAAGACACUUGCCCAAGGUGCCACGCAGUGGGACUGAACCCGGAACCAUGUGGUUGGUAAACAAGCUACUUACCACACAGCCACUCCUGCUUCAUAUUGUCUAUGUACCCAACAUAAAAAAAAGUAUACUCAUACGAGGGGGUACUGAAAAGCUCCUGGCUUUGGGUAAAAGGAAAUAUAGGGGGUGGGGGUCAGUUGAUUAUGAUUUUACUCAACCUGCUCCCCUCUAGGAUUCACAUACUUAUUACAGAGGUCCUUCAGUUUUUGUAAAAGAACUUAGGAACACUCGAGAACAUAUGUAUGCAUUAAAAAGGCAAGUGAACAAAAGUGGACAUAAUUGCACGUUAAUAAACGUACAAUAAACGGACAUAAUAUUAUGAGGAUAUACGAGCACACAGACAUAUAAUAAUAUAUCUGAACAUAAGUACGAGUAGUUAUAUGUUUGUCUAUGGUUGUCAUAUAAAAGAGGAGAUGUAUGCUUAUAUAUAUAUAUAUAUAUAUAUAUAUAAACACGAGAUGAAUGCCCAUGCAUAAAAACACGUGAUCAUAAACACAUGUGGUAAUAAAUACGUGAUGUGUACACAAAUAAGGAUGUGUUUGCUUCAUUUUUCUUUUUCAUAUCGUCUCCAUAUAUUUACCUAUGCGUAUAUAAAUAAACGGUCAUUAGUGUGGACGUGGAUAAACGCAGAGAAAUGCUUUUAAACAUAAAUACUCAGCAACACAAAUUCAGCCAUAGUGGAGAGAGUUUGAAGCGGGGAAGUUGUUUCUGGAAUCUGGUUGUGCUGACCUCGAAAACCUGUUUACGUUUUUACUGUUGUUAUUGUCUGAAGUCAGCCCUGAUCGAGCUGGCUUCCAAUCAAAAGCAUUUAAUCCAUAAUCAUCCCUAGCGUAUAAACAUCGAAAAGCUAACACCAGAAAAAUAAACCCAUAAUGUGUAUAUUGCGUGAUAUAAAUAAUUAAUUAAUGAUAACUGUGGCAUUGGUACAAACAAAAAAGAAAAACUGUAUGAAAUUCCUGUUUAUGUAGGGUUUGUUUAUCGUCAGAAAGCAAAUAUAAAGGAAAAUAAAACGAAACAGAAAGAGAAGAGAGAAAUGCGAUAAAUAUCAGACUCUCUUGAGCAGGUUAAGCAUUGAUGGAAGUGCAUUACGAAAUUAGGUAGACAUCUUUAAGUUUGCUUUCUAACCACUCGGUUCCGGGUUCGGCCCCACCGCAUGGCACUGAGGGCAAGUGUCUUCUCCUACAGCCUCGAGCCAACAAAAGCCUUGUGAAAAGAUUUGGUAGACGGAAACUGGAAGAAGCUUGUCGUAUACGUGUGUGGGGGGAACUAUGUGUGUGUGUGUGCGUUUGCAUGUAUGUGUGUGUGUGUGUGUACGUUUGUAUGUAUGUACGUAUGAAUGUAUGUGUGUGUGUGUGAGAGAGAGAGAGAGCGAGAGACAGACAGACAGGGAGCGCCCGCGUGUAUCUUUGUAUUUUUCGGUACCAUUGAUUAGCAACAAGAGUUGUUGUGUUUAGGUCCACAUAACUUAACGUUUCAGCAAAAUAGACCGAUAGAUUAAGCACCAGGCUUUAAAAAAGACAAGGAAAUACAUUAUGGUCGCAAUCUAAUGACUGAAACAAGCAAUCGAUAAAAAAUAUACAUCGAAACCCACGAUAUUAUAAUAUAUAUAUAUUGUUUUUGUAUACAAUAAAACAGGGUGGCCCAAAAGUAGGUUUACAGUUAUCAUGUAGGCACUUUAAAUUUCUUUUAGAACAUUUCAUUACAUUUAAAUUUCUAUCUUAUAAUUAACUAAAUUAGUAUAGAAUGAUGGGUUUUUUUAAAAUUAAGAUCUAAACUGUUAAUAUUUAUUUCUUUAUUGCCCACAGGGGGCUAAACAUAGAGGGGACAAAUAAGGACAAGUAAAGAGAAAGCGUAGCUGGUACUUAUUUUAUCGAUCUCGAAACGAUAAAAGGCAAAGUCGACCUCGGCAGAAUUUGAACUCAGAACAUAACGGCAGACGAAAUACCGCUAAACACUUCACCCGGCGUGCUAACGAUUCUGCCAACUUGCAGCCCCUAAACUGUUAAUAUAUGAAUGCGAAAGAGACAGUUGAAUAACCGUAGACCUACUUUGGAGCCACCCCUGUAUAUAACGUAUUUUAUAUAGUUGUUAUUGGCAUCCUUUUGUCUCGGAAGACAAUGGAGUUGCGCAUAAACUAAUCCAAUCCGGUGCUUACAUUUCAUGUCCUCUCCAGUUUCCUCUCCAGUUUUGCACAGUCCUGGGCUAGAUGUAAGAAAACCCUGGGUAGCCCAAUCAUCAGGAUUCCUCUCUCGACCUUGCUGACGUAGUCCAAAGGAGUGCAGAGCAUUACGUUUGGCACCAACUUGGUUGCAGGAGCUGCCGGAAGAGUGUUGAAUCGAACACCAAACCGCCUACGGAGCUCCACUCCGGAUUUCUUUGAAGGUUAUUUCCUUUCUGUAAUCCUGGAUAGGGGCCUAUAUCCGAGUACUGUCAGUUAACGAACCCCUUUUAAAACCAUGUUUAUGAUUUUGCUUCUCAGAUUCAAGUUUAAAACUAAUUAAUCAUUACUUAACUACAGAUUAUCCUAAAUCUCUUGCAAAUUUAUCACACACCAACUCACCAAAUGUAGACACAAACUCACUUAUCCUUUAUCCUUUACUAGUUUCACUCAUUGGACUGCGGCCACGCUGGGGCAGCGCCUUGAAUGGUUUAGUCUGACAAAUCUAUCCCAGUACUUACUUUUAGACCUGUACAUAUACUAUCGGUUUCUUUUUGCUGGACCGCUACGAUACGAAGAUGUAAACAAACCAAUAUCGGUUGCCAAGCGGUAUGAUGAGCAAACGUUAACAUACACACAUACAUAUACAUGUAUACACAUAUCCACUCAUAUGAACACACACAAACACACAGAUACACACACAUACACACAGAAGACACACACACAUACACACACAAGCAUAUGUAUACAAUCAUAUAUAUAUAUAUAUAUAUAUAUAUAUAUAUAUAUAUAUAUAUGGCAGGCUUUUCUCAGUUUCCGCCAAACAAACCCACGCACAUUGCUUUGGAUGUCCCGGUGCUAUCGUGGAAGAGACUUCUCGAAAUGCCCACACUGUAGGCCUGAACCGCGAACAAUGUGGUUUCGAAGCGGAGCGUCUUACCACGCAACCACGUCAGUACCUAUGCAUAUACAUACAUACAAAUGUACGCGCGCACACACACACACGUACAUUCACACAUACGCAUAUAUAUAUAUAUAUAUAUAUAUAUAUAUAUAUAUAUAUAUAUAUUUAUAUUUAAAAUGAGGGUGAGAAAUUAGCUAUUAAUUUAAUUAACAUCGAUUUCACACCAGUGGUCUAGCAUAUAAAAAAACUGAAGGUUCAGUAAAAUUGUAUUAUAUACAUAUUAGAGGGAAACCACUAUGUGGACAAAUAGCGGAUCUAUUUCUAACAUAAGGGUGUCCACAUAGUGGUUUCCCUCUAAUAUGUAUAUAUAUAUAUAUAUAUAUAUAUAUAUAUAUAUAUAUAUAUAUGUAUGUAUGCAUGUAUAAUUUUAUAACCAAUAUCCCAGUCAACGUGAUAUAUAAAAGCCUGAUGUAUCUAUUUUGCGGGUCAUAUUUAUUAUAAUUAGUAAUUAGCUUUUUUUUAUCAUAAUAAUUAAUGAUUCAUUAUUAGUUGUGAGAGGUAACGACAUCUUGUUUAUCGAACUUCAGUUCGAUUUAUACAUGGCUUGCGGGUUUAAGAUGUUUCAUAGAAUCCCGCGUAUGACUAAAAGCCACCUUCGCUUUAGGACUUCGGAUUCGUAGUAUUACGGUUUGUAUGCGGUUUGCUGGAGGCCAUUCUGAGAAUAAGCAAUCUCAAGAAGAAGGCUGUUCAAAAACAUAUUGCUUUUUCACUUGCACUUGUUUUCAGUUGUACUUUUUUUUUAGCUUUUUACUGAAAAAUCUUUCCAUAAACAUUUAUAAAAUUGUACGUACAAUGAUUUAAACAAACCCCGUGCGUGUGUGUGUCUGUGUGUGUGUGUGUGCGUGUGUGUGUGCGUGUGUAUGUGUGUGUGUGUGCGUGUGUGUGCGUGAGUGUGUGUGUGUGUGUGUGUAUUUCUCUCUAGUUUCAUCUCAUACCUGCGGCCAUGCUGAUGCACCGCCGUUAUAUAUGCACGUAAUACAUAUAUGUGUUUAUAAAUAUAUGUAUGCAUUUAUAUAUAUAUAUGUAUAUAUAUAAAUGCAUAUAUAUAUGUAUGCAUUACGUAUAUGUAUUAUUACGUGUAUAUAUAUAUAUAUAUAUAUAUAUAUAUAUAUAUAGUGAGAAUUUAUCAAAAAAACAAAAGUUGAAGGCAGGUGUUGUAGACAACAAACAUAUGUAUUAGUUUAACGCUCGGUAAGUGAGAAAGUCUUUUAUGUUUUGAGCUCACGCUCUUUGACAGAAAGGAACACAGAAGAAAUAAACAGGGAGAGAAAAUAAAAAGGUUUAGUGCUUAGCAAUGCUUGUGUGUGUGUGUGUAUAAACAUACACAUAUGAAUUUAUAUAUAUAUAUAUAUAUAUAAAUGUAUGAACAUAUAUAUAUGUGUAUAGUGUAUAUAUAUAAAGGGUAAAGACCCCCUUCGGUCAUGAGUGACCAUGGGUUUGCACCUAGAGAGUUACCCUCUGAGGCACAAGUCUGGGCAAGGUUGUUUGAUGGAAGACCAGCAGUCGCCCAUGCAUACCGGCCUCCCCUCUCCACGUCACCGAUGUUGUCCAAGGGAAAGGCAAAGGGGCCGAUACAGCUUGGCACCAGUGACGUCGCAACUCAUUUCUACAGCUGAGUGAACUGGAGCAACGUGAAAUAAAGUGUCUUGCUCAAGAACACAACACGCAGCCCGGUCCGGGAUUCGAGCUCACAACCUCACGAUCGUAAGCUCGACGCUCUAACCACUGAGCCAUGCGCCUUCACUGUAUGUAUAUAUAUAUAUAUAUAUAUAUAUAUAUAUAUAUAUAUAUAUAUAUAUAUAUAUAUAUAUAUAUAUAUAUAUAUAUAUAUAUAUAUAUAUGUAUGUAUAUGUUCAAACUUACCGUUAAAAGCAGCUUAAUAAUUUAAACUUCUACAUUGCAUACGUAAGUUUGUGAUGUUGAUAAUAUUUACAAUACUGUGACACUUCUAAAACAAAUUUUUUAUUUUGUUCUAUUUGUGCAGCACUUUUUAUAUCUACAAAUAGAUUUGUAACUUCCAUGUGGCGGUUCGAUUUAUUUUCGAAUGUGGCGCCAGGAAACAACACCAGUCAACAGUAAAAGCUGCAAAAUAUUUGUCGAACUCCUUCACUUUCCGAACGGUUUCGUUUCGCGUAGCUUUGAGUGAAACUGUGUAUUCUUAACACUAUACGCCUUCAAAGGAUCUCUCUAAGAUCUUAUAUAUAUAUAUAAGAAACUGUACGUGCAAUGCGUUAAUAUUGCAAUGCGUUAAUAUUGUGUAAUACAAUUGUAUAUUCACAAAUGACUGCAAAUAAAGAUCACCCGAACGUCAUGGCUACAUCAACAGCUCGACUUAAAUACACACACAGAUUUCACUCUUUAUAGAUUCAACUUAAGGAGGACAUCUUCUUAAUGUCCUCUCGUGAAAAGUAUUUCGUUUGGUACGUAUAUCAGUGUCUCGUGAAGACUGGAAAUUCGACAUCUGAUAUUGUUUACAAUAUGUGUAAUGAUUGCAGUUAAAGUUUGGAAUCUUUAAUGAAUUCAUAUUAUAUCUUCGCUCAAAUUAUUACACGGUCUUGCUUUUACUAGCGCUCAGAUGAAUUUUAGGAAAUUUACUAUUUACAGAAUAGCACUUAUUGUAAUUUUUUGGAUUAAAUUGUCUGACCAUGCAAAUCAAUUUGUAAGUUCAUCCAUGGCUUGUUCGUCCGUAUCAUAGGAUACAGUGAAUCCAUUAUCUCUGUAUGUUACUAUAAGUUUUGCUUCUAUUUUAUUUCUUUGAAAAUGCAAUAUAAAUAGUUCGACAAAAUGUAUAGUUACUUAACCCGGAAGAAUUUAUAAAAUAAUGACGAACAUGUGUUCAUUAGAAUAUUAAUAUUGAUAUUAGCGCUAAGGCGGCGAGCUGGCAGAAACGUUAGGACGCCGGGCGAAAUGCGUAGCCGGAUUUCGUCUGCCCCUACGUUCUGAGUUCAAAUUCCGCCGAGGUCGACUUUGCCUUUCAUUCUUUCGGGGUCGAUUAAAUAAGUACCAGUUACGCACUGGGGUCGAUAUAAUUCGACUUAAUCCGUUUGUCUGUCCUUGUUUGUUCUCUCUGUGUUUAGCCCUUUGUGGGUAGUAAAUAAAUAGGUAUUUCGUCUGCCGCUACGUUCUGAGUUCAAAUUCCGCCGAGGUCGACUUUGCCUUUCAUCCUUUCGGGGUCGAUUAAAUAAGUACCAGUUGAGUACUGAAGGUUGACUUAUAACCCGCUCCUGAAAUUGCUUGCCUUGUGUCAAAAUUUGAAAUUAAUAUUAAUUUUAGCGAUGAUGUAUAUUUUACUAAAUUCUAGAACUUGGAGAGGAAAGCACCGAAAGGUGGCUGGUUUGGGCUCGACAACACUGAAGGCGUAGAUCUACGCAUAUUUUAGGCGUCCAUCUUGCCGUUAAACUGAGGUUCUGCGAUUUUUCUGUCGUGCUAAGUUUGUUACUAUUCCAAUUUCUGUGCUUCUCUAUUGAUUAACUCGCAUUUAGGCUUCAUUCUAAAAUUAUCUUUAUGAUCCUUUAGCAUUGAAUAAGGAUUUCCUCAACCGAGACUUUCUACACAAACACCUGUAAUUAUGACGCAAAGCCUUUCGUCUCAUCGUUCGUUAUAUUGCAUGUGCUCCGGUUAUUUUUACACGCAUUCAUUAUGUUUUCUAAUAUGAUUCCAUUCUGUGCAUUAUUGUCAAGUUCAUAAAAUAUUUGAGCUCAUCUGUUCAUUAGACUAUAUUGUUACAAGUUUUACAGUCACUAAAAUACCCUUUUGAUGUAUUCUGAAAACUUUUAGCACAUAUAUCUAUGGAUGUAUGCAUGUAUGUAUAUAUAUAUAUAUAUAUAUAUAUAUAUAUAUAUACAUGCAUGCAUGUAUAUAUGUAUGUAUGUCAUUAUUCAGUUUUAUUUCAAGAUUUUUAGCCAAUAGAGAAAGACCCGGUUUCUAGCCGAGAUCCAAAGCCCCAUCAUUGAAAUUUCAACAUCAAUAACAGGGUAUUUUCGUAUGCAUGAAUGCAUAUGUGCAGAUUUGUAUGUUUUGCUUUAUGUAUGUAUUCUCAUACAUAUACUCGCAUAUCUAAAACAAGGUCAUAUAUACUUAAAUGAUAAAUUUCUUGAAAGUUUCACACAUUUUAACUGUUCCCUUGAUGGAUUGGAUCUGUAGGCUGCGAAUCAGCUUUCUCCUUUCUGAUUUUGAGAAACCUAAUUUCUCUAGAUUGAUAUUUAGGCAGUGUAUGUGUAUAUGUAUGCAUGUAUGUAUGUAUGUAUGUAUGUAUGUAUGUAUGUAUGUAUGUAUGUAUGUAUGUAUGCAUGUGGAGGCGCAAUGGCCCAGUGGUUAGCGCAGCGGUCUCGUGGUCAUAGGAUCGCGGUUUCGAUUCCCAGACAGGGCGUUGUGAGUGUUUAUUGAGCGAAAACACUUAAAGCUCCACGAGGCUCCGGCAGGGGAUGGUGGUGAUCCCUGCUGUACUCUUUCACCACAACUUUCUCUCACUCUUACUUCCUGUUUCUGUUGUACCUGUAUUUCAAAGGGCCGGCCAUGUCACUCUCUGUGUCACGCUGAAUAUCCCCGAGAACUACGUUAAGGGUGCACGUGUCUGUGGAGUGCUCAUCCACUUACACGUUAAUUUCACGAGCAGGCUGUUCCGUUGAUUCGGAUCAACCGGAACCCUCGUCGUCGUAACUGACGGAGUGCUUCCAUCCAUGUAUGUAUGUAUGUAUGUAUGUAUGUAUGUAUGUAUGUAUGUAUGUAUGUAUGUAUGUAUGUAUGUAUGUAUGUAUGUAUGUAUGUAUGUAUGUAUGUAUGUGUGUAUAUAUGUAUGUAUGUAUGUAUGUAUGUAUGUAUGUAUGUAUGUAUGUGUGUAUGUAUGUAUGUAUGUAUGUAUGUAUGUAUGUAUGUAUGUAUGUCAUUGUUCAAUCUUACUUCAAGGUUUCUUGUCAAAAAAGACAGAGCCGGUUUCUAACCUAAAUUCAAGGCUCUUUCAUUGGAAUCUCAACAUCAACAACAAAGUAUUCUUGUUUAUAUGUAUGUAUGUAUGUAUGUAUGUUUGGAAGAAAAAUGAGCAGAAAUGUGAAGGUAGUUAAAUAGAUUUUCACUCACCAAACAAAAUUCGGAAUUAUUGAACUAACCGACCACUAGCCUACGUCCCAAUAAACCGAUUUGUUAUAUUUGGUCCUAAUCCUUCUUCUUCUUCUUCUUCUUCUUCUUCUUCUUCUUCUUCUUCUUCUUCUUCUUCUUCUUCUUCUUCUUCUUCUUCCUCUUCUUCUUCUUCUUCUUCUUCUUCUUCUUCUUCUUCUUCUUCUUCUUCGUAUCCUUCCUCUUGAUCCCCUCCCCCUACGUAAUCUCUACCAUGCUUACUCAUCCCAUAACCACACUUCAUUCUUUGUUUCCUCCCGAUAUAAACCAAAAACAAGGUGUAGAAGAUGAACAAUGUGACAUCUCAUGUCUAAAACCGCAAACAUAACUUCGAAUUUUUGCAUAAACUGACUUGGCAAGUAGAGUUGGAACAGAAACCACUGUAACGCUUCAUUAAAGAUGUGUUAAAGAAUUUUCUUUGUUUUAUUAUUUGGAUAUCUAUCUAUCUAUCUAUCUGUUUGUCUGUCUGUCUAUCUAUCUAUCUAUCUCUCUAUCUCUCUAUCUAUCUCUCUAUCUCUCUAUCUGUGAUGUCUUGUGCUUAAUGUCUAUUUUUAAUCAUUUAUAAUUGAACGUUACGUAACCUUUGUGAACAGUAAGUUUUGUAUAGUUCAAUAUUUAAGAGAUGAGGAAUUAUGUACAUUAUUUACAUCAUUUACAUUUGACGGAUAUUUGUCCUCAACUUGUUUGUUGUAAACACAACGUUUCGGCUGAUAUACCCUCCAGCCUUCAUCAGGGAAAUUUCGAAGCUGGGUUUGAAAAUAUUAGAUUUAUAAGCCCUAAAAUUCUACUAAGCUACUAACCCCAAGAUUCCGAGUUCGAUUCCAGGCAGUGACUUAAAUAAUAAUAAUGAUAAUAACAACAAAAUCGAAAAAAUACUUUAGGAAUGAAAACCCAUGUUCGAAAUUUCCCCAAGACACCUGAUGAAGGCUGGAGGGUAUAUCAGCUGAAACGUUGUGUUAACAACAAACAAGAUGACGAAAAAUAUCCAUCGAAUGUAAAUAAUGUAGUAAGUUUUUUUACAUUUAUAUAUAAUUUCUGCGACUCCACGCUCUGCCUAUUUUCUUUCUUUCUCUCUAUCUAUCUAUAAUCCUCCAUAUUUCUUUUUCUCCCCCUCCUUCUUUGCUGUCCCCUGUCUAACUUUCAUUCCUUCUUCCUUCUUGUCACUCCCUUCGUUUCUUUCCUUUCUCCUCAGUCUUCUCCACCUUCUCCUCUGCCUGUUGAUCACACGUGACUACAAGCCAUUUUUACCGUGUCUCUGUCUUUUUUGAAUGGGACGUUUCUCUCGCCUUCCGACAUUUUUCUCUCUUCUACUAUUUUCUUCUCUUAUUUAUUCUAUAUCCUUUCAAAAUUUCUCCCUGGUGUUACCCAUUACAAUGCGUCUUCGCCUAACGGCCCUUAAUGUUUCUCUUCGUCGAUUUUUUUACUCUAUACAGCCACUCUAUUGCUGGUUGUUCGUUCGAAGGCGUAACUCACCAUAUUUUAUAUUUCUAAAAUUUCCGGAUGCUGCUAUCUUAUGAAGUAUUCCUAUCUUGCCGUUGAAAGCUCGAAACAGGUAGUAAUAAACAGUCCACAACUGAGGAGGAGUUAGACUUCCUUUAGUAUUUGUUCUGUACUUAUCUUUCGUGUGUCUUUGUAUUUUUCGCUCGCUGUUGAUGUCUUGUACUUAAUGCGUAUUCUUAUAUAUAUAACACGUGUCGUUAUUCUACCAAAUAUAUACGUUUUUAUAUAUUACUUUGCAAUUUACUUAAUCAUCAGUAUAUUAUUGUUAUUUUUAUUUUAAUAUUUCUAUUAUAUGUAAUUUUCUAGAUGGUGUAAUUUAAUUGUUCAUUUUGAAUUGAUAAGAGGUGGUUUUUCUCUAAUUUAUAUAUAUAUAUAUAUACAUAUACACACACACACACACACAUAUAUAUAUAUAUAUAUAUAUAUAUAUAUAUAUAUAUACAUACACAUAACGACACCAACAUGUGUGUGUGUGUGUGUGUGUGUGUGUAUAGCUUUCGGUGAAGCAAUUUCUAGCAACAUACUGAGGUUUGAAUACGGAUUAGCGACUAGAAACCCUAUCCUAACAUAAAGCGGUGGAUAUACCUUAGACUAAUAUAUAUAUAUUUGUGUGUGUGUGUGUGUCAACCAUAUUUGCUUACACACAGGCAUUUUGAAAAGGAGGUUUAUUCAAGCUGGUAGGUAGAUAAUCUCAACGCUAAACCGUAAAUCGAAACGAAACUAUCAUCGUAGAACUAUUGUAUGAAGCGGCAACCAGCGAACAGACAAACAGCACUGACAAGAUGCAGAGAUAACGAUAAGCAAAUUCUCGCAAUGACGUGAUAUGGCUGAGGAAGACUGGUUGUCGUCGACCAUGUCUCUCUAAGUUAUGCUUUGUCAACAGAACGUAAAUACCCUACACGGCAAUACUGUCUGUCGCUAUCUCUCUCUCGCUUGCAUGGCCUGUAUAUCAUAGCAGGAGGCAAUUGUUGAUCUAGUAUCGUUAGAAUGUGGAGAACUGACAGUUUUAUAGCAAUAUAGAUUGAGUGACGGAUGAAUGCUCUUCCUCUAUGCAUUAUUGGCUAUUGAUCUAUUGAUUUAUAGCGUUCACUAUGCUGAAUUGUUGCAACACUUUGCGUUCGGUGUAGCAUUGGUAUAAUUAUGCAUAUGUAUUAUACAUACACACACACACACACACACACACAUAUAUAUAUAUGAAUGUGUGUGUGUAUAUGUCUGUGUGUAUGUAUAUAUGUAUAUGUAGUUAAUUAAAUAUAUACAUAUACAUAGAAAUAGAUAGAUACAUACAUAAAUCGAUAGAUAGAUAGAUAGAUAGAUAGAUAGAUAGAUAGAUAGAUAGAUAGAUAGAUAGAUAGAUAGAUAGAUAGAUAGAUAGAUAGAUAGAUAGAUAGUCAGAAAUUUCCUAAAUCCAUUACUUUAAAUAGCUUCCUAUCUAUAUUCUUAAGAGAUCAACUGGAAAUGAACGAUACUUAAUACAAAAUGAAAGCGUGCAAAACGCAAAUUGCAAGUUAAGUUGUAAUUAAUGGCACACGUGUCGUAUAUUCUGCUGUUGUUCAUCGUAUUUUUCUGUUUACGAAUUGGUAGAUUUUUUUCUUCUUUAUCAUGUUGUUCCUAAAAUUUUUGCUUUACUUUUCUUCAGCUGAAAUUUGAUUUACGCAUUCAAUAAUGACAAUUAUAUUAAUGAAUACAGAACUUUCCCAAAAUCUGAUUUCGUAAAUAUGAAUGCGUUCUUUUGUCUGCAUGACCUUUGCCAACCUCAUGAAAUAAAUCAGAAAAAUAAUUCAUAGUAAUCACAAGCCAUGUUUCCAAUUCGUUCAUUUUAUUAUUAUUUUUUUUACCAUUCCUAACAUUGUGAAUGGCUUUCUUCUGCAUUGCAUUAUAAGCUCUGUAAGUCUCAAAGAUUGAUUUUUCUGGCGCCUUUUAUCAGGUAAUGAUGCUAACAAUGAAUAUUUGCAACAACUCUACAAGCUCAGCCCUAAAUACAUAUUUGCAAUUUUCGAUUCAGCUUGUUCUACUUUCACAUUAUCAUCGCACACGUAAUACAUCCCUCAUCGCUGUUUGUUUGUUACGCUGAUGUGUAUCUUUAUAAUGAUUGCUAAAUUCGUUUAAAAGCCUCCAUUUUGAAAACGGGAUCACCUACAUUUAAUAGACUUCAACACUGGAUUGAUAUUCCGUGCAUCAUUGACUCUGGUAAAGUGAAAUGAGAAAACAGCCACAGUGGAAUUAAAAUUUUGGUACUGUAAUGUCUCUAUCUCAUCGCCAUAUAUAUGUAUAUAUAUAUAUAUAUAUAUAUAUAUAUAUGUGUGUGUGUGUGUGUGUGUGUGUGUGUGUGUGUGUGUGUGUGUGUGUAUGUGUGUGUGUAUGUGUGUGUGUGUAUGUAUGUAUGUAUGUAUGUGCGUGCAUGCAUGCAUGUAUGUAUGUAUGUAUGUAUAUAUAUAUAUUCUUUUGUUCUUUUAUUCUAUUACUUGUUUCAGUCAUUUGACUGCGGCUAUGCUGGAGCACCACCUUUUAGUCGAGCAAAUCUACCCCCAAGACUUAUUCUUUGUAAAUCUAGUACUUAUUCUAUCGGUCUCUUUUUGCCGAACCGCUAGGUUACGGGGACGUAAACACACAGCAUCGCACUACAAGCGAUGUUGGAACACACACACACACACAUGCAUAUAUAUAUAUAUAUAUAUAUUAUUACGAAUUGUACAGCCAUGAAACGAUCGUAGUGUUUUACUCUUUAUAUUUCAUUAAACUUUUAAUACUUUUGAUAUAUAUUUAAAAUAAUAUAAAUUAAUUAAUUUUAUGUAUUGGCUUAUGGUUUUCAUUGUUUCAUUUGCCUAAUUGUGGUUUUAUCUCUAAUUUAAUAUUAUAUAUAUAUAUAUAUAUAUAUAUAUAUGUAUGUAUGUAUGUAUGUAUGUAUGUGUAUACGGGAGGGUUACUUGAAAUUCAUUACUAUAAACAAAUAUAUUCUGUAUUAGAGGAGCAGAGUUUGUCUAUGGUAAUCAAGUGAUAUAAAGAUACAUAUUCAUGAGUUAUGUCUGUCAGUUUGAAUAUAAAAUAAAUGUACAACUGAACAAUGCCUCUCUCCUUGUACAAGUCUUGUUGAAAUGCAUCAUCCUCAAACCGGAGAAACUAAAUCGAGAAUGUGUGUGCGUGUGUGUGUGUGUGUGCGCGCGCUCGUGUGUGUGUGUGUGUGUGUGUGUGUGUGCGGUGCUCAGUGCGCUUGUUUAAUGGUGAGUAUAAUGGUAGUUACAUCGUAGGUUCGGUUCCUGGACAGAGCAGCACGUUGUCCUUAAAUAAGGAACAUCCUUUCUCUUUUUUUCCAGUUCACACAACUGAAAACUUGUAUCUACAACAGCUGAGAAGUUAACUCUGUUUCGGACGGGCAGUUUGUUCAAUGGGUACACACACAUACACAGAUAUAACAGACAUGACAGCCACCCUUAUAAUCAUUAAAAUUUAUUUAAAUCUGAAAUUAUACAUUCAAAUUAUUUAUUGAUUGUUAUAAUGUGAAUAUUUAAUAUUUAGUAGACAUGCCCUUUGCAUUUUUCAUUUCAAGGACCCUAUUAGGCAUGUUAAUGAUCAGAUGACGAAUAUUCUCUUGAGGAAUUUCUUGCCAAGUUUUAUGCAAUAAUCUCAAAAGAUCCGGCUUUGAAGAUGCCUUCUUGUUCUUUUUAUCAAGUGUCCUGUCCAUUAUGUCCCUGAGGUGUUCAAUAAGAUUCACAUCUAGUUACUGGCUUGGCCAUGGAAGCUUUUUAAUGCCAUUCUCAUCCAACAGAUGUUUGGUCUUUUUAAGCCAUGUGACAAGGAACCCAACAUUCCGUAAAUAAAGAGUCUUCUUUAACCAUUUCACUACGGGAGAAGAUCAGAAGGAGUCCUUUCUGCCAAAUGGACACAUAUUUAUCUGAGUUUAUGUUUCCCUCAUACACCACCAGCUCUGAUCGACCAUUGCUCCAAAUUGCUCCCCAGACCAUCACAGAAUUAGCUGCCAUGUUUCAUUGUUGGCUUCAAUCUUUUCACAUCAAAUUCUUGCUCACAGAGUCUCCAGACCCACAUUUGACCACUGUCUGGAAAUACAGAAAAUCUGGACUCCUCAGAGAAUAUGACAGUGUCCCAAAAUGCUAGUGGCCUCUCCACCAUCUCACUGCCCAAUCUUUUCUCCGCUUAUGUUGGCUGGUCGAAGAAAUGGUUCCUUUCUUGCUGCUUUGCCAUAGUAACCAAGUUUGUGGAGACACCCGACAGCUGUUCUGCGACUGAUAUUAACGGGUUCUGCUAUGUUAGAGGCCUUGCAACGAGCAUCAUUUUCCCCACUUCUCUGAACAAAGAGAAUGGUUCAGUGAGAGGGCCCUGAUUGAUCUGGGCGAGAUGAUGUACACUCCUCCCCCUCUUUGGUGAAUUGCACACUCAUUCUAUUCACUACAGAAAGGCGGGAUCCCACGAUUUUCUGCGAUUUUACAUAUUUAUAUGUUUAUCUUUCUAUAAAUAUAUAGGCGCAGGAGUGGCUGUGCGGUAAGUAGCUUGUUUACCGACCACAUGGUUCCGAGUUCAGUCCCACUGCGUGCCACCUUGGGUAAGUGUCUUCUACUAUAGCCACAGGCCGACCAAAGCCUUGUGAGUGGAUUUGGUAGACGGAAACUGAAAGAAGCCCGUCGUAUAUAUGUAUAUAUAUAUGUGUGUUUGUCCCCCCAGCAUUGCUUGACAACCGAUGCUGGUGUGUUUAUGUCCCCGUUACUUAGCGGUUCAGCAAAAGAGACCGAUAGAAUAAGUACUGGGCUUACAAAAGAAUAAGUCCCGGGGUCGAGUUGCUCGAUUAAAGGCGGUGCUCCAGCAUGGCCGCAGUCAAUGACUGAAACAAGUAAAAGAGUAUAUAUAUAUAUAUAUAUAUAUAUAUAUAUAUAUAUAUAUAUAUAUAUAUAUACAUACAUAUGUAUGUAUGUAGGUUUCUGUAGUUAUACUGGAAAAACUUAUGUGGGUAUUUUAGCUAAGGACACUUAGAUAAUUUCUAGAGUAUUUGUCACGUGUAAAAUUGUAAAACUGUAAGAUAUCGUUUUUAAAAAUUAUACUGUAUCAUAUAUAUCAUAUAUCAUAUAUACUAUAUCUUAUAACAUAUUAUACUAUAUCAUAUAUUUUGCGCAAGUUCCGUAUCGUUUACGUCUUUGCUCUUCCGCUUGAUGCCGGAUGUUGCAGCGCGUUCAUUAAAACUCCAGACAUAAUAGGAUAAUUUUGUUGCGUUCGUAUUUUUUUUAUAAACCUGAAUGAAGAAAUAUUAUUCCGACCGUUUUCUUUGAAUUUACCUUCUAACAUAGCUACACAGGAUUUACGUUCAGUGUUUUAGUUGCUGCAUUAAAAGUAACACCUCGAGGCUAAUCUCUCUUGUAUUGCAUGGUUGGUUAAGGCAUGCAUUUUUAUGUUCGCAUACGUUGUUAGUCUCGGUCAAUUUAUUUGGUUUACGUACUUUACUGAUAUUGAUGCUACAGCCGUAACUCAGUUUGAGAUUAUUUCUAUUGAAUAGUUUUCUGUGUCGGUGAUUAAUAGAGAAUGCGAUCAGUUAGGUAGGUAGGUUUAAUAGAUAAAGAGACAGACAGACAGACAGAUACAUGCAUAAUACAUACAUACUUGUUAAUUUUUACAGGGAAACAGUUGACAGUGACUUCAAUGUUUCAGUUUCCUAACUGCCUCAUCAAAUUAUCUGAUGGUUGCUAAUAUACUGAAACUUCGAAAUUACUGUCAAACUCUUCCAUUUAAUAAAUAUUUUAUUCAGCUAAAAAUUAUUGAAUGAUCCUUCAAUCAAAUACCCGACUGUUUUAUAUAACUUUAUACAAACUAGACAGACAGACAGACAGACAGACAGACAGACAGACAGACAGACAGACAGAUAGAUAGAUAGAUAGAUAGAUAGAUAGAUAGAUAGAUAGAUAGAUAGAUAGACAGAUAGAUAGACAGAUAGAAAGAUAGAUAGAUAGAUAGAUAGAUAGAUAGAUAGAUAGAUAGAUAGAUAGAUAGAUAGAUAGAUAGAUAGAUAGACAGAGAGACAGACAGAUAGAUGGAUGGAUAGAUUGAUUUCAGCUAUUAUAGUUAACAUUGAAGGGGAAAGGAUGUGUGAAGCAGAUACCACCACGACAUCCUUUGUUGCUACUCUGCGUCGGGUGCGGGGUGGGUUGUGUAUUUGAUCUUAUCUUUGAAUUCUCUAGCUUUUAGCGCUUCAGAGUAUUAAAUACUGAAUUGUUGAAAAUAUUUUCGAUGACAGCUUAGAGAUUCUUCUCCUGAUAUUAUCAAUCAGGUUUUCAUAAACAAUGGGUGGAUAGCAGGAGUUUAGAUUAAUCUAUGCUAGAGUUUCAUUAGGUUUGCCUUGGGGUUGGCAUCUUCCUGCCACUAAACGGACUGUAUCAUCUUUGGAAUUUAUAACAAUUCUACGAAAUACACAAUAACAGAAAUUUUUGAAGAUGUUAAGCAGGCACUUUCUAAAGUUAUCUGACGUAUAUCAGUUGCUGGGUCAGAAUAUAGCAAAACUCAUUGAUUCUAUAUACACCUAUAUCUGCGGUGAAGAAUUUUAUUUUGUAAGUAUUUCGGAUAUACAGACCUACGAGCUCACAUAUCUCAGCUCGCAAAUGAUCCCAUGCUGACGUAAAAUUAAUUUGUGUCUAUUUUGCUUUGUUUUGUUUCGUUUUGUUUUUUUAACUCACGCACAACUUUUGUUAAAUAGUUGAGUCUUCCCAACGUGUAUAAUUAUAUCUACAUCAUUUCGUAUGUUACUAUAUUUGUUAGCGAAUUCUUGAGUAGCGAAGAGUAGGAGAGAGCUCGUGAACCUCAAAAUAAGUAGAUUUAUAAUAAUUUUUAUUAAACCAGAUAAUGAAUGUAUUACUUGUGUUCUGUUUAUCUUUUAGCUUUUACCUGUUUCAGUCAUUACCCUGCAUCCAUGCUGGGGCACUGCCUUGAAAAAAUUUAGUCGAAUGACUUGAUCCCAGCUUGUUCUUUUAGCCUGGUACUUAUACCGUCGGUUUCUUUUGUUGAACCGUCAUAUUAUGGGGAUGUAAACCGCCCAAUAGCGGUUGACAGGCGAGGGUAACGAAAACAGACACAGACACACACACAUGCACACACACUCGCGGGUAUACAUAGACAACAAGCUUCUUCAGUUUCCGUCUUCCAGAUCCUCUUUCAAGGCUUUGGAUUCCCGAAGCUAUAGUAGAAGACAACUGCCAAAGUGCCACAACUGAACUCGGAAUCUUGUAGUUGGGAAACAACCUCCUUACCAGACAAUCACGCCAGCGCCUAAUAUUUCUGAAGGUUGGAAACAGUCCUAUUCUGGUUUAUUAUUACUUAAGACAGUCCUACUAAUUAAUCUGAUCUCCCUUUUAAAAGAUCGAUAAAUUAUCAUUAACAACUGGUAUCAUACAUACUUCUUGUUCCCGCACUAUAUCAUACACUCCGUGUUUAUCUAAUCUGAUAUCAAAUCUAUGUUUAUGAGCCAUAUAUUUUAUUUCGAUGUUAGUGAUAUUGUCAGUAUAUACGCUUGUCUUUUUAUAGAUUUGAGUAUUUAGGAGACAGACAUAAUUACUAUUUUCUACUUAAGAAAGGUUUUUUUCUUUUUCAAUUUUUUAUAAGAAUAUAUUUUAAUUUCUUAAUAUGUGAGAUAUGACAUUAAUUUUGAAAGAUAUAUAUGAAAACCGUUAAUAUGAUUUUACUUACAUUGAUAAAAGUAUACUGGUUUGUCAGAAGCAUUGUAUGUUACUAUCCUUUUUUUAAUUCCAUUAGUAACAGCACCAAACAAGGGUUAAAAGCAAGUAUGAAUGCCGCCAACCAGCGGUUUGUUGCCACUUUGUGUUAACUGUCCCUAAUACCCAAUACAUACAAGCCAGUAUGAGGUCGCUCGGCCUACUAGAAAUAAUAGCCGAAUCACCCGUAUAAUCACAUUUCAACAGCUUAGAAAUUUCAUAUUUGAUGACCUCGUUGUAGAUGUUCAGGAGACAGAGAAAGAGAUUGGUUCGAGGAUCUGAUAUGGAGCUCGAGAAACAAUCAACAACAACGGAAGCCAUUUGUGCUUGUGUGUGUGUGUGCGUGCGUUAAUUUAUGAAAGAUGAACAUGGUUGACUCCUGUGUAAUUCCAGUUUAUGCCAUACAGCUUAAAAUACAUUAUACUCUACACACUUUCAACAUAAAGUUUCAUUCAGCAAAUUAGCAGGGUUUUUUUUAACGUUUUAGUAAAAGAAAUGUAUACGCACUUCAAGGAAAGAAAAAUGUGUAGAAAUAUUUUGAUAUCAAAUUGAUUCAUAUAUCGCGGAAUUAAUACAUUUUACCAUUAACCUCUACAAUAGUAAGAGGUACUCAAAUUGGUGGCCAUUAGCUUCCUGACGCUUAUUAGUAUGGUGAAUCCCUCUCGGGCAACGUUGGCUGAAGGGUCCAAUGAGAUUACUGUACCCCAAAAGCCGUCGAUGUUGUCCAUUUUCCGCGAUACACGAUACACUUUAGGGCGACCUAUACGUAAAAGUCCGCAGGUAUGAAAUCAGGAGAAUGUGAGCGUAAUUCAGCUAUAGCUUUUCUUCUUAUCCAUUGCCCGUGCAAAUUUACAUCUAAGUAAGUUCGCACGUCUCGGUAGUAGUAUUCCAGUACGCCAACUUGUUUCAAGAAAAAUUCUUCAUUUCCAUAACGCUUGACCAGUAACAGUCGCUUCAAAGAAAAAUGGUCGCAUUGAUGCCUUUGAUGACACUCCACACCAGACAUUGCACCUUCGCUGCUUUAUCCUCAUGUCGCAAAAAGGCAAAAAAACAACGGUUAAAGGUAACUUUAUGAAUCCCAUGAUAUCGGAAUAGAUUUAGUAUGAUUUACUUACAUAAUUUCCCACCAGAAUUGGCCCAGUACUUCUACAGGUUAUCUCUUCCCACAAGUGUGUAUUUAUUUUUAAAACGGACUUCGUGUGUAUAUACAUAUAUAUAUAUAUAUAUAUAUAUGUAUUUUUGUUUGUAAUUUUUUUGUUUGUUCUUUUAAUUUUUCUGGUAAUAGUUUUUUUCUGUUUUGGGGGAUUCUGCACUUAGUUUUAUUCACAGGUCUUGGGGUGAGGCGGGUGGGUUGCACAUAUGUUUGUGACAGUGUCGACAAAAUCUGCCAAGAUAUUAUGAUGCUGGAGGAGGUGUGCGCAUGUACGAAAGACCAGUCAGCAUGCGAUGGCUCAUUCAUAAUCGUGUCCCAAUGGGCAUCAUAGAGAUCCAUGUUAUCAAAUGGAUUGGCAGGAGAGAGAUCACUAGUGUUAGAUUUCGGCUGGUAGAAUCUCAGGUUACGGAGAACAAUGCUGUGGUCUGAAAGAUGUUUUUCUUUCCCACUGUGUCAUUAUGUAUGGUGUUAGUGUGGUUUCUAAAGACAAGCUCUAAAAUACUCUGAUAUAUUGUUGGUGCAAAGACAGGAUGGAACAGCAUGACACACACGCUCGCACACUCUAUUUUAUCUUCUCACAUCAUCCUAUAUUUAUCGACGCCUAUAAAUUUUGCCAUUUCGUCCUCCAUUUUAUUGAUAGAUAGGUGCAAAGCUGAUAGAUAGACAGGUAGGUAGGAGAGUGAAAGUGUGAGAGAGUGAAAGAGGUGGUUGGAUAUAUAGACACAGUAGAUAACUAGAUAUAUAUAUGUAUGUAUAUAUGUAUAUAUAUAUAUAUAUAUAUAUAUAGAGAGAGAGAGAGAGAGACAGAGAGAGACAUAGAAAGAAAGAGUGAGCGAAAGAAACAGAGGGUGAGAGAAAGAGAAAGAGAGAUGGGCUCGCUUUUAAACUGUUGCUUUUGCGAAUUCCACGCAAUGAAAUCCCGCGUUCUUCUCCCCCACCCACCCCCUCUCCCAUUUGCCCUACUUAUCUUCCUCGUAAACUUUGUCUCCCUCACAUACAGUUCCUCACCCCACUCUCUAUCUCUCUCUCUCUCUCUCUCUAUCUCUCAUCUAUUCACUUACUCAGAUCCUCUUUAGUUAUGUACUCUUCCUUCUCCCCAAUUCAUAUACAUAUGUGUGUGCGUUUGCGUGUGUGUGUGUGUGUGCGUUUGUAUGCGUGCGUAUGCAUUUAUUUACAUAUUUAUAUAUAUACAUGCAUUUAUAUGUAUGUAUAUAUAUAUGUAAAUAUAUAUAUAUAUGUAUAUAUAUAUAUAUAUAUAUAUAUAUAUAUAUGUAUAUAUAUAUAUGUAUAUAUAUAUGGACGUAUAUAUAUAUAUAUAUAUGUAUAUAUAAAUAUGUAUGUAUAUAUAUAUUUAUAUACAUGUAUAUAUAGAUAUGUAUGUAUAUAUAUAUAUUUAUAUAUAUAUAUAUAUAUAUAUACGUAUACAUAUAUAUACAUAUAUAUGUAUACGUAUAUAUAUAUAUGUAUAUAUGUGUGUGUGUCUGUGUAUGUGUUUAUGCGUAUAUGUGUGUAUAUAUGCAUGUGUGUCCAAAACGGAGAAAUAUAUGUGUGUGUGCGCAUGCGUGCGUGCGUGUAUUCCUACAUAUGUCAUUUCGCCUCUUCCCCCCACUCCCCCAUCACGUCUACAAUAUUACUCUUCGCCGCCAUUGUUACUCAUCUCCCUUGUCUGUCUACCUCUUCUGUCUCCCCCUCUCUCUCUCUCUCUUCCUCCCUAUCCAUCUCUGCAACAUGGUCUCAUCUUAUAUUGAGAUGCACCACGUGGAUGUGAAUAGGAUUUGGGUGCGGAGCCAGAGUGAAAAAAAAAAAAUCGAAAAAAAAAAUAAUGAAGUGCGAUUGUGUCGAGAGGGGGAGGGGGGUAUAUCAUUUUCUUUUUAAUGGAGCUUGUUGCUACGGUAACUGUGUCGAGCAUCAGAGUGAAAGGAGGUGUCGUGAAAUACGUGGUGUUUGGGGGGGGGGAGAAGAGGAGAAGAGGAGAGCCGACUGCAAAUAUGGAUGCUGCUUGCUGCAACUCAUUUGAUUCAAUUAGCUGUUAUACAUAUACACGCACCUUUCUACCCCUUGAUGUGUUUAUUUCUCUUUCUUUCUCGCUAUCUUUGCCACUUUUUUCUCCUCCUCCUCCCCCUCCUCUCUCUCUCUCUCUCUCUCUCUCUAUCGCUCCCUGUUUAUACAAAUAUGUACAUGCUUGUUGGCGAGAGAGAGGGUUUGUACGUGUGUCUCUGAGUAUGUUUGUACAAUGAAAUAUAAUGAUGGCUAAAAUGAAGGCAGACUAUAAAAUGAAAUCAUGUCAAAUACUGAGUACAUAUAUAUAUAUAUAUAUAUAUAUAUAUAUAUAUAGAGAGAGAGAGAGAGAGAGAGAGAGAGAGAGAGAGAGACAUAUAUACAUACAUAUACGUGUGUGUAUGUAUGUAUAUAUAUAUAUAUAUAUAUAUAUAGAGAGAGAGAGAGAGAGAGAGAGAGACAUAUAAGCAUCGUUGUCUAAUAUACAUUCAUUACAUCCAUCCGUAUUUGCUAUUAUUAUUAUUGUUGUUUUUGUUACUAUUACUCUAGGCAUGAAUACAUAUUUCUGACUUCUUCCGCUCUUUGCUAAGAUGUUUUCCAACAAAAAUAUUCCCCCCGUAUUUGCUAGAUAUGUAUUUAUAUAACACACUAACACACACACACACACACACAAUAUACAGAUGGACACAUAGACACACAUAAAUAUUAACGAAGUGUUCAAAUUGUAAAAAGAAAGAUCGAUGCGUGUAUUUUAGAUGUUGUAAUGGGAACAAAUGUUACUUACUUCUUGCCAUUGAUGAAGGGCAUGGAUCCGAAACGUUAUAACAAUUGCAUUUGAAUGUAUCUGGGUGACAAUAGUGAAUCAUUUAACGAGUUUUAUCUCGUUUUUGUGUUGUCAUUUUCAUGGACUUACCUACAUUUAUCACCGAUUCAAACACUCCAGCCAUCAUACUUGCAGUUCCUAUAAUGCCGGAUUGUCAAAUAGGCUUAACGUUGGAUUACCUCAUCAGAUUCUUCCUUCGUGUGUGUGUAUAUGUGUGUAUGUAUUCGUGUGUGUGUGUGUGUGUGUGUGUGUGUGUGUGUGUGUGUGUGUAGGUCUCAAGACAUUCAUGGAUUAGUACAACAUUCACCUCUUUACAUAUACGCAUCAUGUAUUGUCUAAGUGUAUGUAGAAAGACUGAUAGGUGUACAGAAGAGGUAAGAAAACAGACUUACCUCCAUCUGUAAGAGUGAUGUGCCUCCAGCCAGCAUAAUGCGCGUGAAGCUAAAGUUAUCUUUCAGGGCCAUAACCAACGUCUACUUCGAAUGAUGCUGUGUGGACUAACAUCCCCGUUGACAGUCCGCUUGUAUUUAUAGAGUGUUAAAGACUUUCGGUAUGCAAAUUAGGGAAUCCUUCAUAGAGUAACUGUUGCAUUUGUUGAGUGUAUAAACAGCUUGUCUGCUUGUUUCUCUGGAGACUGUCAGAAUGAUGUAGACGCCUCUGAUGAGAACCCAAUAAUGUUCGAAAAUAAAUUAAGGUUGUUCAUACUUUUUUCAUUCUACUUAUAAAUGGCUAAAAUUGGCCCUGUUUGUAAUUAUACCAUGUUUUAUAUAUAAAUAAGUCACUAUAUAUGGAUUCCACUAAUCCGGCAAUGCUCAUAAAAAAAGCCCAUUAAUGGAGACAUGUGGGUAAUUUAUUUAUUGUUUAAUAAUAUAGAUUAUUUACAUGUUUUUAAGUUACGAAACAAUGUGUCAUGAUAUUUGAAUUUUCAUAUCAUUAAAUAUAAGUUCAUAAAACUAUUUCUCUGUUAUUUAUGACAUAUAUAUAUGUAUAAAUACAUACAUAUAUAUAUAUAUAUAUAUAUAUAUAUAUAUAUAUACAUCCAUACAUACAUACAUGCAUACACAUAUAUAUAUAUAUACAUACAUACAUAUGUAUAUACAUAUAUAUAUAUAUAUAUAUAUAUAAAUUUAAUCCAAACAAGAAAGCACAAAAAUAAACACAACAACGCGAGGACGUGGAGCAAAUAUAGUAUUAUAGGACGCUCAGGAAAGAAAGAAAGAAGGAGGGUCUAACGUUUCGAGCGGAGCUCUUCGUCGGAAACAUAGGAGAAGGAAAGAUCCAGAGAAGGGAAGAUAGAGGAAAAAAAUCGCCAACGAGGUCAUAUAUAUAUAUAUAUAUAUAUAUAUAUAUAUAUAUAUAUCGCCUUAAUCGAGGAGUUGGCAACUUCUCAUACCGAAACUGCUACACUGAAUGAGUAUUCCGACCGAGCUUUUAUGCCCUGCAGUUUGGAGCGGAAACUCUAUAUCUCAGCGCAUGCAGUUACGUUUAUAGGCACUCUCAGAUAUCUAUAAUAUGUGCGUGUGUAUGUAUUUCAGUUGUGUAUCUGUAUGUAUUCAUACAUGCACUGACAGCCAUAUUUGUAUACUUGGUGGUAGAUUCUGACGCUGUAGAAUGCCGCGCUGUCUCUCACCUCUGGGUGCAUGUUUCCUUAUAUGUGAUGACGCCAGAGGACUACCUUUGGAACAUACGCCUGGGUCUGUGCCUCAACAGCGUAGAGAACUAUUCCUUUCGACCGAGACAAUCUGUUUAAACUGGAAACAGAGCAAUGACUUUUCUAGUAUUCGGUUUAUAUUUAUGUCUGUGAGUGUGUGAUCGUAUGUACAUGUUUGUGUGUUUGUGUCUGUGCGUGCGUGUCAGUUAAUAAAUCAUCAACAACAACAAAAGAAACAGCUGUUACAUUGACGCUUUGAGUAGGUUACAGCUGUUUCUACUGUAAGUUUGCCUGCACCUAGGGCUGAGCUUAUAGUGCGACAUUUUAUGGCCUCAGAGCUACGUGAAUAUCGUGAGGGUUUUGUGUGGAUAGCACACGUAAAAUACUGCACUUAGCUAAAUAUCAGGAUGAAAUUACCCAGAGAGAUAUAAGAAAUACGAUAUGAGAUACAGUUGACAUCUUAUGAUUUAGUAAACUUCGAGAGCACUUUAAAUAAUUCUUUUACGUAAAGUUGGAUCUCGAAGCUGAUAGGCUAUAAAUAACAGAGUGUAAAUAUUGGAUUUAAAAAAAACUGUUUGGAUAGGAAAGGUCGAAGGGUUUUUUGCGUGUGCGUGUGUAUGUGUGUGUUUUACGAGUUUGCAUGUAUAUGAUCUGCUGUAUUGCCCUGGAGGUAAAAGCAGAGUUCAUGACCCAGUUUUGUUUUCAGAGCAUCUGAGAAUGACAGAGGGAAUGGAGGAAGUUAUUCUCAAACCCGAAGCCGAGCUUGAAUGCUCGUAACAAAAAACAAAACUCUGCUAACGGCACCAAUGCUCAGGCUGUAGUGUUCAAUUGCAAGUUGGAUAAGUCUACCACUCAGGUACCCUGGAAACAGGAUGUAGAAAGCUGGAACAAUCACAAGGUCCCUGGUCUGAUAUUAAACUGGCGCUCCGUCGAUUACGGCGACGAGGGUCCCAGUUGAUCCGAUCAACAGAACAGCCUGUUCGUGAAAAUAACGUGAAAGCGGUUGGGCAAUCCACAGACACGCGUACCCUUAACAUAGUUCUCGGGUAGAUUCAGUGUGACACAGAAUGUAACAAGGCCGGCCCUUUGAAAUACGGGUACAACUCAUUUUUGCCAGCUGAGUGGACUGGAGCAACGUGAAAUAUAUUGUCUUGCUCAAGGACACAACGCGUGGCCGGAAUCGAACUCAUGACUCUAUGAUCGUGAGUCGAAUACCUUACCCACUAAGCCACGCGCCUUCACUGGUCCGAUAUUAGUAUUUUCCAAUCUAGCACCCAUGGAGUCGUACUUCUUUUUAUCGAUACUGAAAACAGAACUAAAAAUCAAAGUGAACCAGGGCAAGAACUGAACUCUGACAGUCGGAAUAAAUAUGUCAGAGAACUUCCUUUCAGCUCUAACGACGACUCUGCCAAUUCACUGCUUGAUAUGUAAAGAUAUUUUUAUUCAGUGCUUAACAACGGAAUCAUGAUAUACGAAAUGUAUCUAUAGGAGUAAUUUAUUGUAUGGCCUUUUCAUUCUAUAUAUUUGUACACGGUGCUCUAUGUAUAACUGUGUGUUGUGUAUGUGCGUGCGCGUGUGUGUGUAUGUCUGUGCGUGUGUGUGUGUGUAGGUGAAGAAAAAAGUGAAGAAAGUAAACGCUGUCGUAUUUCUUUUGAUUCCUUUACCAUACCUCGAAACCUGCAAUCUGUUGUCGCUGUUGUAGGAAAGUGAAUAUAUAUGAUACAGCAAAACUAGACUGGAUGCAGUUUUAUAAUAAAGCAAACUUCCAGACACAGAGCAACAGCUGUGAGAAAAUCCUGAAUCAGUUUUCUCAUUCUCUCCUCCUUCCUUUCCUCUCUGUCGGCAGACAUUAUAAACUAAAUGCACAUUCUGCACAUCGACACAGAACGACUGUCUUCAAAGACAAUGCAACAUCAUUUAUGACGAUGAUGAUGUUGUUGUUGUUGUCGUCGGUACUGCUGCUGCUGCUGGAAGUGGUGAUGAUAAUGUUGAUGAAAAUGUUGAUGAUGAUGAUGAUGAUGAUGAUGAUGAUGAUGAUGAUGAUGAUGACGAUGAUGAUGAUGACGAUGAUGAUGAUGAUGGUGAUGAUGAUGAUGAUGAUGAUGAUGAUGAUGAUGAUGACGACGACGAUACAUUUUUUAAAAAAAAAUAUCCGGUUAAGUUUAGCUAUUAGGGACCAUCUAUUCUGCCCCUUCCGCAACUCAACUAUUUAUCAAUUUACUUUUAAUUUUCCCUCACAUAAUAUUCCAUAAUUAAGGUGUUUCUAGUAGAAGGAGAAAUGCCAAUUUCUUAAUACAGGUGCCGACAAUAUCUUUCUCCAUCUUUUAAUAGGAAAGACUAUAUUUAAUAAAUCCCUUUUUCGAACAGUGGAUCUCGAAGCAGUAAAGCUAUAAAUCAUAGCCUGUAAAUAUUGGAUAGAGAAAUGGUUAAAUAUGCUCACGGAACACGAAUCCACUUGGCAGGCCUUUUGUCCUUGGACCUGUGCAAUCCUUUGGUUAUUUUAGAAUACCUUUGGUCAUAUUAGAAAAGUUAUUCUUACCAGCGAUAAUAAUUGACGUCAUAAGAAAAAUUUUUUUAUAAACUAUCAAGGGAAAGUGAAAUGAUACUUUUUUGGAAUGAUGGAUCUCGAAGCAGUAAAGCUGUAAAUGAUAUAUAUCGUAAUAAUAUGAAAUAUUGUGCUAAAAAUACUUUGGAUGGAAAAGUCAGAGACUAAAAAGUCGAAAGCAACCUUCGAAUUUUCUGCCCAAAUUUACAUACGUGUUAUUAUUUAUAUGACUGUUUGUUGGAUUCGAGAUCCACUGUUCCAAAAAAGUAUUAUUUCACGUUCUCUCGAAAGUUUAUAAAUUCUUAUGACUUCAGUUAUAUUUAACAAUCGCUACAGGACCCGGAUAAUAUGCUGUCAUAUAUUCUUCACGCCAUGAACUGAAGGCUUCAAAUGCAGAAGUUUGCUGUAAUCAACUAACUUCAUCUCCGCUAAAAUAAUAUGAAAUUGUAUGCCAAUAUUAGUGAACAGUAAUCAAAAUUUAUGUUCAUAAUAUUUGUGAAAUUUAAGGCGGCGAGCUGGCAGAGUCGUUAGCACGUCGGGCGAAAUGCUUAGCGGUAUUUUUGUCUGCCGCUACGUUCGGAGUUCAAAUUCCGCCGAGGUCGACUUUGCCUUUCAUCCUUUCUGGGCCGAUAAAUUAAGUACUAGUUACACACUGGAGUCGAUAUAAUCGAAUUAAUCCGUUUGUCUGUUCUUGUUUUUCCUCUCUGUGUUUAGCUCCUUGUGGGUAGUAAAGAAAUCGGUAUUUCGUCAGUCUUAACAUUCUGAGUUCAAAUUCCGCCGAGGUCGACUUUGCCUUUCACCCUUUCGUGCUCGAUAAAAUAGGUACCCGUCAUAUACUGGACCCGAUGUAAUCGACUUAACCUUUCCCCCCGAAUUAGCUGGCCUUGAGUCUAAAUUUGAAACCAAUAUCUAUAGUAAUGGGUUUGUUCUACACAUUGAAAAAGGUUAUAAAUUAUUCCAUAGACACCCGGUAUACAGCUGUGGCAUGUUUUAUCAAAUUAUAUACCGCGUUCAAACCCAGCAUUUUCUAUGCCUAUCUCAAAAAAAAAUGACUACUUCAACUAUAGUAGUUGACAAAUAUAUAUUUGGGACAUAUAUAUCAAGAGAGAGAAAUGAUAGACAGACAGAUAUAUAGAUAGAUAGAUACACAGACAGACACACUGACAGACAGACAGACAGACAGACAGAUAGAUAGAUAGAUAGAUAGAUAGAUAGAUAGAUAGAUAGAUAGAUAGAUGGCGGGAGAGCGGGAGGAAUAUGUAGGUAGAUAGGUAGGGGGGACAUACGUACAUACAUACAUAUAGCUUUUUAUGUACAUAUGAAUAAAUAUUUAAUAUUUAUAUAGGCAUAUAUACGUACAUACAUACUUAUAUUUAUAUACACACCGACACACACACGCACACACACGUGCAUACAUAUAUACAUACACACACACAGGCGCAUACAUACCUCCAAUUAAGGAGGAGGUGAACUUUCGCUAUUAGCGAGGUAUUGACUCUGUUAGGAGAAUAAAAAUGUUAGGGAAAAGUUAAACACAUAACUUUACUGUUCGCAAAAUGAUUCUCACUCCCUCUUUCUCUCUCUCUCUCUCGCCUUUCCUCCCUCUUCCUUGCUCCUUCUCUCAGUUUCUCGAUUCCUCGUUAGGUCAAGAUGCACAACAGCAAAUGCCAGAGCGGCAGACAACUGUGAAGCGAAGAAUGUUGUUUACGGAGAAUGAAGACAUUGUAAUUAAAUUGUAUAGAAGUGUAUCAAUGGAAUGGAAAAAGUAUUUCACGCAAUGGAGACAUACUUUCAGUAGUCCAGUUUAGUAUUAACAACAACAACAACAACAACAACAACAAUAAUAAUAAUAGGUUACAGAAAACGAUAAAGCAACCAUACUCUGAGAUAUGCCAAUACACACAGAUAGAGAAAUUAAGGCCAACAGACCAGAUAUAGUUGUUAGAGAUCAUGAAGAAAAAAAAAUGCUUUCUAAUCGAUGUAUCAAUACCGGCAGAUGACAACGUGUCUCUAAAAGAAAUGGAGAAACUUUCAAAAUACAAAGACCUGGAAAUAGAGGUAACUAGAAUGUGGAAUCUGAAAACAGAAAUAAUUCCUAUCACAGUAGGCGCAUUAGGCAUGAUAAAAAAAUAUUCAGACAAAUACAUAACAAAAACACCAGGACUUACAAACACAUAUAACAUACAGAAAAUUGCACUACUGGGCACUGCACACAUCCUACGCAGAACACUUUCAAUACAGUAACCAUAAGAACAUCACAACACAUACCCAAGGCACACAGAGCUGCGCUCGGUAGUGAAGUGAAAGCACGCUAUAAAAGUAAAACUACUGAAUAAUAAUAAUAAUAAUAAUAAUAAUAAUAAUAAUAACAUCGAAAAAUACCUUAGGAAUGAGAACCCAGGUUCGAAAUCUCCCCAAGACACCUGAUGAAGGCUGGUGGGUAUAUCAGCUGAAACGUUGUGUUAACAACAAACAAGAUGAGGACAGAUAUCCGUCAAACGUAAAUAAUGUAAAUAAUGUGCAUAAUUCCUCAUCUCUUAAAUAUAGAACUGUAAAUAAAUGUAAUUCCUAAGUUCUACUCUAUAAAACGUCCCUAUGAUGUGGCUGUGUGGUAAGAAGCUUGCUCCCAACCACAUGGUUUCGGGUUCAGUCCCACUGUGUGGCACUUUGGCCAAGUGAUUUCUACUAUAGCUCGAGGCUAAACUAAAUAUUGUGAGUGGAUUUGGUAGACGGAAACUGAAAGAAGCCCGUCGUGUGUUUUGUUUGUGUGUGUGUGUGUGUGUGUGUGUGUGUGUGUGUGUGUGUUUGUGCCUGUGUUUGUCCCCCAGUACUGCUUGACAACCGGUGUUGCUGUGUUUAUGUCCCUGUAUCGUAGCGACACGGCAAAACAGACCGGCAGAAUAAGUAACACGCGUAAAAUUUUGGUGUGAAAAUCUUGACUUGUAUGCCGGACGACACGGUAUACAGUAUAUCUUUUACGGCUGUGGGACUCAGAUGUUUGCAUCGAAACUGUAUGGUUUGAGUUCGAUCCUAUUCCGCGGCAACAUGGGUGGCUUCAACCAUAGCCUUGGGUCGAAUAGAGCCUUUGCGUAUGGAAGAUCAUCAGAUAUUCCAUCCCUUUUCUUUGGUGAUAGACUUAUUCUGAUUCCAUGUGUAACACUGCGACCUGGACAUUUAGUGUCUUUAUCGACGCCAGCUCUUUUUUAAACGUUUGGCCCGUGACGUUUGUCUGGGGGCAACAUCCUACAUUUCUCCCGCCUUCAGGAAGUCCCUAGAUAAGUGUUGACCUUCCUCCUCUGACCAAGUUAUUGAAAACCAAUACUGAUUCAAAAUGAGAUUCGUGGACCAGUGUUCGAACAGCCGAAUCGUUGGCGCUGUUCGUAAUGUCAUUAAAGCACUGUUCCACUCUUUUCUCAAGCAACAAAUGUAUUUAGCAAUCUUUAAGCGUCGACAUUCACUUUAUUUCGCAAUUAUAAAAUUGUUUCCUUCGUAGCUGACCGAACGCUCCCAAUUUUACUUUAAACUAACAUUUAUAUUAAAGAUAAUGUCUUACUUAAAAUGGAAUUUUUGUAGCAUUUCAAGGUCAACUUGGCUAUAAUGGGAAAAUCUUCGUCUGGGAAUAUCUAAUUAUUUUGACUAAAAUAUCUCAUUUCUUUCUUUAAACUAGAGUACAAAUUAAAGUAUUCUAUUCUCAUUCUCAGUUACAAUGUUAAAUAAUUCCUUUUCUCAAAUAGAAAAAAAGAUUAUGGUGAAAUUGAAAAUUGUAUAAAGUUGCCAGACGAGAACAGUAAAAUAGAUCAAUUCCUUCUACUCUGACAUCAUAACUCCGUUUCAAACACUUUUUAUUACCUUUAAGACUGUUACAUGGACAAGUGAAGUAUUUCUUUUCCCCGAAGGGUUUAUGAUUCUUCUGGUAAUAUCACUGAUGUAUUAUCCUUUGAAGAAAACACACUUGAGUAGUUACCUGUCACCCGUCUUUUGACCCAUAAAGACUUGAAUUGUAAUGCUCUAACAAGUUUCAGCAGUGAAUUGAACCCAAAAUAUGAUCGACAUUUUCGGUUCGAUUCAUGGGGUUGGGUGUCCGAGUUGGUAUCAAGAGUCGUAGGAACUGGCUCUGUUCAGUGUCAAGAUUGAAGACAAGGCAGCCGACACUUUGAUUUGAAGUUAGACAUUUCGUCGACGCAAUAAAUUGAGUUUCUCUUGAGAAUUGAUUUGUGAAAAGAAAGUGGAGGAACAAAUGUCCAGAGUCACACGAUUCUAGAAAGAAAGAAAGAAAGAAAGAAAGAAAGAAAGAAAGAAAGAAAGAAAGAAAGAAAGAAAGAAAGAAAGAAAGAAAGAAAGAAAGAAAGAAAGAAAGAAAGAAAGAAAGAAAGAAAGAAAGACAGAAAGAAAGAAAGAGAAAAAAGAUAAAUUUGAUUUGUGGGAAUUCAGAGUGUAACACGACAUUUUUUGUUUAUGAAUAAUUCGCCAUAUUAGAAGACAGUAACUAUGCUAGAUGUAGAAACUAUAAUAGUGUUACUGAAAUAGUAGAUAUAAUAGCUUCAGUGUUGUUGGCAAUAGAUCAGGUGGUAAGUUCCCACUAUACCUGCGUGGCGACACGACGUCUGCCGCAAAAAGAUCAAUCCUGUGAUACGUUCCCUCCAACAAGUGUUCGAGUGAUUCUAUCUCGCAGCGUCACCAUAUUGCAUACGAGGGUGAGUCAAAAAGUAAUGCCAUUUUGUUUAGGACAGGUAUAAUUACGAACACAGGAAUAUGUAUCAUACAUCAAAUUGAAGCUGGUCCUCUGUGGAUCACAUCCCUACUUCUCAACAUAGUCACCGUUUCUCUCAAUAGCCAAUGUCCCACCUUCGAAUGAGAGCAUGUAUCCCUGUCCUGUAAAAUUCUGUUGACUGUUCUUUGAGCCACUACUUCACUACAGUUUCCACUUCCUCGUCACUGAAAUAAUGUUUGCUUCUCAAACCCUCUUUUGUAGCGCCGAAGAGUUGAUAGUCUGAAGGCGCUAAAUCUGGUGAGUGUGGAGGUAGUGAAGAAGUGACUCAAUGAACAGUCAACAGAAUUUUACGGGACAGGGAUACAUGCUCCCAUUUGAAGGUGGAACAUUGCUAUUGAGAGAAACUGCGACUAUGUGGAGAAGUAGAGAUGUGAUCCACAGAAGACCAGAUUCAUUUUGAUGUAUGAUACGUGUUCCUGUGUUGGUAAUUAUACCUGUCCUAAAUAAAAUGGCAUUACUUUUUGACUAACACUCAUAUAUGUGUGUGUGCGUGUGUGUGUGUUUAUGUAUAUAUGUGUGUGUGUGUGUUUGUCUAUCACUACCGAUUGACGACUGGUGUUGGUUUACUUACGUCCCUGUAACCUAGUGGUUCGGCAAAAGAGAUUGAUGCAAGUACCAGGCUUUAAGAAAAUAAAUCUGGGAUUAGAUUCUUUCAACUAAAACACAUUAAGGCGGUGCCCCAGCAUGGCCGCAGUCAAAUGACUGUGACAAGUAAGAGGUAAAGAUACUCUUCAUACUAACGAGCCAACGAUAGAACGUCUACAUAGUCAGGCGACCUUGAAAAAAGGAAGCCCUAAUGUUCCUCAGAUCACUUUGUCGCCCUUAAAAAAGCACGCGUUGGGUAAUGUUGUGCUUGGGUUACAGACAUACAUCUUUGAUCGAAGUUCUACUCGAUCAGAUUUGAUCUAGCGUCACACAUCAAUAGCUAUCGAAUAUACGGCUGUGGUACAUGUCCAUUGAAAACCCAUCUGAGAAUUGAACCUCGACUGCUUCACUCGAGAAGACUUCAUAUCCAGUAAUGCAGUAAAUGGUUUGCAUAUUAGUAACAUGUUUUAAUUAACAACAAAGUGAUCUAAGGAAGAUUUCGCUGUGUUUUCUAGAAUGUCGAUGAUACCUGAAUUGACUUCUGUAUGCAGGUGUGGCUGUGAUGUUAAGAAGCACUCUUUAAUACUACACGAAUUCCAGUUCAAUCCUAUUUCAAGGCACCUUGGCUAAAUAUCUUCUACUAUAGCCUCAAGCCUGAUUGAAAAUGUUUGGAAGGCCAUGGUAGAUUCAUAUGUAUAUCUGUCGGCUUGUCGUUGUGUUCGUGUUUGUCCCCUAAAACAACUUGACAACCGCUUGGUUUGUUCACGUCUCCGUGACUUAGCGGUCUGGCAAAACAGACCAGUAGUACCAGAUUUGAAAGUAAGUAAUGAUAUCGAUUUGUUCCACUAAACACUUGAAGGUGGCGUCCUAGUAUGGUCGCCGUCCAAUGGCUGAAACAAGUAAAAGAUAAAAGAUCCCCAAAAAUAUACGCCAUGCUUCGAGAACCCCACCAAGUCCUUCCGCUCCUGUUCUGCCCAUUAUUUAGCAAACCUAUAGUGGAAAGCAUUGCACUAUUUUACCAAGACAUAUUUUUACAGCUACAGUGGUCAGGACUAACUUAUAUUCUUUCCUACUCUAGGCAUAAGGCCCGAAAUUUUUGGAGAGGGGGGGGGCAAUCGAUUGAUUGACUCCAGUACGCAACUGGUACUUAAUUUAUCGACGUCGAAAGGAUGAAAGGCAAAGUCAACCUCGGCGGAAUUUGAACUCAGAACGUAAAGACCGACGAAAUACUGCUAAGUAUUUCGCCCGGCGUGCUAACGUUUCUUAUUUCUUUAUUGCCCACAAGGGGCUAUACACAGAGGGGACAAACAACGACAGACAAAUGGAUUAAGUCGAUUAUAUCGACCCCAGUGCGUAACUGGUACUUAUUUAAUCGACCCCGAAAGGAUGAAAGGCAAAGUCGAUCUCGGCGGAAUUUGAACUCAGAACGUAAAGACCGACGAAAUACUGCUAAGUAUUUCGCCCGGCGUGCUAACGAUUCUGCCAGGUCGCCGCCUUGCCUUAAACAUAUAUUCUUUUCUAUUCUUCUUAAGAUGGUAAACUACGAUGCGAGGGCCAUGUGUCUGCUAUUUCUCGCAGGUUAGGUGGUUGCAGGAAAUUCCCAUCGUUGGCGCGGGUGGGCCCACUGGUCGUUGUAGUAUGAGAGGUGACGCGCACCAUGACCGUAAUGAUGUUGGUUUUCGGGUUUUAACGUUCGUGUAAAUUAUUGCUCGUUGUCAUAGUAACAAUCUGCACUUGCUCGGUGUUUGUGGCGAUGACUGAAAUCUGAAGACUGUCUCCGAGAAAUGAUUUCGGUAAUCAAAUGUAGGGUUAUUUCGUUUUUACCCGGCAAUCAAUGUCUAUUUAGAUAAUAUCAGUUUUAGAGAGAAAAAAAUAUACGUUUAAUUCAUUCUGUUUUUAAUGAAAAAAUGUUGCUUUUGUGGUUACUAGUCACACGGUCAAAAUAAACUAUAUUUUAAUCUUGUGUAAGUCUAUUUAUAAAUUCGAUUUAUAUGUUGCCAGACCGGAAUAGAAAGAAAGUGCAGAUAAAAUGUGAAAAGACGACAAUCAAAGCAACAACAAAAACGCAGAAAAAUUGAAUGAGGGGGGGAUAGAAUUGAUGGAGAUAGAGAGAAUGAGAGUAUGAGGGUGGUGGAAUAUUACUAUGAGAGUAGUAUGAGUAGUAACAUUAUUAUAUUAGAAUAUCGACAGGUAUAAUAUAUAUUUAUAUAUAAAUACAUACAUACAUACAUAUAUAUAUAUAUAUAUAUAUAUAUAUAUAUAUAUAUAUUUAUAUAUAUAUAUAUAUAUAUAUAUAUAUAUAUAUAUAUAUAUAUAUAUAUAUAUAUAUAUAUAUUAUAUAGAAAGAUGAAUAAUCUUGUAGUAGAUUAAUCAAAAGUUUAACCGAUACCUUAGUAGCAAAUAUCACAGCAGUAAAACACCCUCACCCAUAUGAUUGACCGAUAUACCCGUUGAAUUCUUCAGCCACCGGUUCUCAACAUACACUGAUAAAUAUAUCGCCAUGGGCUCUUAGGAGCAUAGUUCGAUUUGUUUUUGCUCUGCCUCUGUUCUGUUUUUGUUUUUCCAACGGAUUUCCUAUUUUCUUCCUGAAGAGAAAGACACAAUAUGGUCCCAUUAUUCCAUCGGAUUUUGGUAAUUUGUGCCUUUCGAAACACGUGUAGAAUGAAAUAAAACGAUUUCUGUUCAAUCUGCGUUCAGCUCCAUUUCUUCAAUUAUAUAAUGUUAUAUAUAUAUAUAUAUAUAUAUAUAUAUAUAUAUAUAUAUGCACAUACAUAUAUAUAUGCACAUACAUACAUAUAUGCAUACAAUACAUAGAUACAUAUAAUACAAAUAUACAUAUAAUACGCACACACACACACACACAUAUAUUUAUAUAUAUAUAUAUAUGAAUGGUUGCAGUCUCGUAAGUAAAUAUAUGUUGAAUAGUUGCAUUGAUUGCUUCUGGUAUUUCUGACCUGCCAUAGAAGACAAAAGAAAAUAGAGAGACCGAUUGGUUGUCUUAUAUAUUUGUGUGUGCGUGCGUACAUGUGUGCGUGCAUACAUGUGUGUGUGUUUGUGCAUGUGUAUGUACAUACGGAUAGAUAGAUAGAUAGAUAGAUAGAUUUUUUGUAUUAUAUAGUGCAUAUAACCCAUUUAUAUAUAUAUAUAUAUAUAUAUACAUGCUUUAUAGAUAUAUAUAUAUAUAUAUAUUGUUAUAUUUCGGAAUGGUCAUAUUGCCAGUUUAGCCAAUAAAAACACACGCACUAUAUAUUUGGUGUUAUUUUGCUUCAGUGAUAUUUAUUUUUUACAUUAAUCUUAAUCUUAUUUCGGCCAAAGUUCUUUCGUCACACUCCUGUGACCGCAUCAGUGGUCCUUUGUUUUCUUCUCACUUACUUGUGUCUCUCCUUACUAACCGUCAGCCAUUUUGUAUUUCUAUUGUAUGUCUUCAUUUGCGCAUGCUUAUAUCUCUAUGUGCGUCUAUGUUUAUUUAGUGUGUGUGUGGGGGGGAUGCCUGUAAUAUUUGUAUCUUCUGGUUAUAUACAUUCUUGUAAUUUGUAUUUUGUUUUUGUUGUUGUUGCUUUUGUUCUAAUUUUGUUCAUGUGUUUACAUCCACCCAUUAUUAUCAUUACAUAUGCUUGUAUGUAUGUAUAACAACAAUAUUAUUAAUAAUAAUAAUAAAUAUAAUCGGAAAAAAAAAAAAAAAGAAUAUACAUAUACAUAUAUAUAUAUACAUACAUAUACAUAUAUAUAUAUAUACAUAUAUACACACAUAUAUACACAUAUACAUAUACAUAUAUAUACACAUAUACAUAUAUAUAGAUAUUCAUUUCUAUUUCUUUAAUUACCUGUGUAUUUAUUAUGUUUGCAGGAUCCACUAUUGUCAUAUGUUGUGGUGUGCGCUAUUGCUCCAUUCUAGUUUUCUAUUCAGGCUAGGUUUAUUUUCUAUUAUAUGUGUAGCUUCUGUAAUUUGUCUAAUUGUUGCAUCUGUUCUAUGUGUGGACAAUAUCUUAAUCUCUAUGUUAUUGAUUGAUCCCCCGUGUUCUUGUUCGGCGUGUUGGUACAGAAUAUAUAUAUGAAUUUUUUGCGUAAUGAGAUAAAAAAAAACCAAGGCUGUAUAGAUAUUGGAGCAUUUAUAGAUAGAAGGUCUUACAUCUGUUUCUAGAAUAUAAAUGCUAUAAAAGCCUUCUAUCUAUAAAUGCUCUAAUAUCUAUACAGCCUUGGGUUUUUUUUUAUCUCAUUACACGAAAAAUUCAUACAUACACAAGUUGACAUAGAACAAACGUUGAACCCUUUAUUUGCAAUAUUACCGAAUCUGGAACUUAACUAUGGUCUGUCUAUAGCACUUAUUCAGCAUUACAUGACACCUUUGGGUCUCAAUGACACCAUUAUCUCCUAUAUAUAUAUAUAUAUAUCAGAUCAUCCCAUACGUUCUGUCCGAAUUUUGAAUAAAGAAAACAAGUGAUCAAAUGUUAUAUUUAAUUGAAAUUUAAUCCUCAAUUUACUUUCCCUGGUUAUCUUCUUUCCAUCUAUUUACAAGCGCUUUAAUCCUAUCAAUGUAAAACUGCUUUGGUUUCAAAGCGAAGAACUCUCAAAUGUCUGUGUCGACCUUCUCCUGGCUUGAGAAAGUUAUGUCACCUAAAUGAUUCUGUACUACGAAAUGAUUCUGAAACUACGAAACAACUGGUAAUCUGAAGGAGCAAGGGCGGGAGAAUAAGGUGGAUGAGGAAUUUUUUCCCAACCUAGCUCUUCGAUCUUCUGUGAUGUGAUCUUUGCAGUGUGGUGUCGCGCAUUGUCCCGAUGAAACAUCACUCCCUUUCGAUUAAUUAAAGCGAGUUUUCGAUUAAUUAAAUCAAGGCGGCGAGCUGGCAGAAAUGUUAGCACGUUUGGUGAAAUGCUUAGCGGUAUUUCGUCUGCCGCUACCUUCUGAGUUCAAAUUCUGCCGAGGUCAACUUUGCCUUUAAUCCUUUCGGGGUCGAUUAAAUAAGUAACAGUUACGCACUGGGGUAGAUAUAAUCGACUUAAUCCGUUUGCCUGUCAUUGCUUGUCCCCUCUGUGUGUAGCCCCUUGUGGGUAGUAAAGAAAUAGAUUAAUUAAAGCGGGUCUUUUUUCUUCAAAUCUUGGUUCAAACGCUCUAAUUACUGACAGUAGACUUGAGCCUUGAUUGUUGCAUAAGGUGGUAACAAUUCAAAGUGAAUUACUCCUUUGCAAAAUUACCAGAUACAGAGAAGAACCUUUUUCCCAUGAAGUUACCUUCUCGGUUGUAGUUGAGCUUUUUCCCUUUUACCAAGCCACUGUUUACGACGUUCAACAUUUCGAUAGAAGAUCCAUUUUUCUUCAAAGUCUAUACAAUAAGGUUGAAAUUAGUUCGCAAGAAUGGAGAGAUGAGCAGAUGUCAACUCGUGAAUUGCGGUUGCUUUCGGACAAUACAUGAGGCACCCAUUUCCAAGUUUAAUUGUUGAAGAUGACGAGAACAGUUGUAUGGUUUGAAAUAAGCUUUAUUGCCAAUUCUUCAACUGACAAUGCAGGAUAUUCUUCAAGUAAUGCCUCAAGGAGCUUAUCAUCAAACUCAACUGGACAUCCUGUUCGAUCUUCAUCUUCAAAGCUGAAAUCUCCACUUCUGAAUUUUGCAAAUCAUCUUUUGCAAGUUCUUUCAUUCAAGCCUUCUUUCCCAUAAAUUGAGUGCAUGUCUCGAGUCGCUUCGGCUGCAGAGUUUCCUUUUUUGUACUCAUAAAGCAUUAUGUGCCUUAAAUGCUCUUUGGAUACUUACAUGUUAGAAAAGGUUUUAAUCAAAGAAAUUUUAAUUGCAUUAUUCUGUAAAAUAAUGUUUAAUUAGUUUAAAUGUACACAAACGUAUAAAAUUAAUUUUUAAUUCCAUUAGACAUCCUAAAAUACUAGUAAAUUUCAUUCAUUUUUUAAAAACGUAAAAUCGGACAGAACUUAUGGGUUGACUUGAUAUAUAUAUAUAUAUAUAUAUAUAUAUAUAUCAACACAACCCCACCAUUUAUUGAUCUAUUAUAUAUAUAUAUAUAUAUAUCAGUUCAUUAAGAAUGAAAUGUCCGAUUUUCAUCCACCAAGUUUUACAGUCGUUAACUAAUGUUUUAUCGUGUCAAUUCUUUGUUUUACAACAUUGAAGACAUGACAUCAUCACUUUUCGAAAUGCAAUUCAUGGUGUCUGAUUAUAUUGUGAGUUUUCUCUUGUAAACCAGCUUUUGUGAACUGAUGGAUGGAUCAAAAAUUUGUGUUGUUUAUGAAUAUGAGUUCCAUCGUGGAACCAAUGCAUCCCAGACAGCUCGAAACAUCAAUGAGGUGUUUGGUACAGAUGUGGCGAAUGACUUCACUGUACGUCAAUGAGUUGAGAAGUUCCGAUCUGGCGACUUUACUCUUGAAAAUCAGCCCCGUGAUAGACCCGAGACCAAGGUGGACAAUGAUGAGCUAGAAACCGACAAAAUCCACAAAAUCCGUACCUGUUGAGCCCUGAGGUCGAUAUACAAGACUUCGCCCCUCCCCAAAACUGGUGUCCUUCUGCCCAAAAUCCGUACCUGUUGAGCCCUGAGGUCGAUAUACAAGACUUCGCCCCUCCCCAAAACUGGUGUCCUUCUGCCAAAAUUUGAAAACAAUCUUGUAAAAGUUGUAAUUGGAUUAAUCGGCCACAGUGUAUUACUGGUACGCAAAAGUUCCAUGUUGAUGCUUGAAGUCAUGUACAAUAUAAUGAAAUUGUAGAUAUUGGUUUGAAAUCUUGGUAGAGAGCGAGUAAUUGUGCAAGGCUAUUACAGCACACCCCAGUGCACAACUUGCACUUAUUUUAUCGAUCUCCAAAGUAUGAAAGGCAAAGUUGGCAUUUAAACUCAGAUGGUAAGGUCGUAAAAAUGUCGCAGUAGUGAUUCUAGCAGCUUGCCGCCCUUCUCGAAACCUUUAAACGUUAUAAGGAGUCUUGCACUCAACAACCUGAUCAAAAGAUACCAUUGUUUUCGUCAGACACAAACUUCAUUUAAUUUUUUUUUCUUGCAACUCACCAAAAAUAUGUUGAGUCAUUUCACAUUUAUUGAAGUUGGUUAUUUUUAAAUCGAACGAUAUUAGUCAUUGUAUUUACUAAAGUUUCUCCCAAUAUAAUCAAAAUACCAAGCGCAAAUAGUUUACAGAAUGGUUGUGUAUGACGUGUAUGUCAUGGCCGUCUAAAAUGUAUCAUUGAGAACAGUCUGUUCGCAUUCAAUGUUUUAUGAUAGAGACGAUGCUGUAGUAUCUAAGAGAGACGUUGGUGCUAUGGCUAUCUUCGCCAUCGCUUGUUAUUGCGGUUGGCGCGCCAAACAAAAUGCAUUGUACACUUUACGUUCUGAAUACAAAUCCUGUUGAAAGAGAAGAAAACAGUUCGUCUCUUUGAGUGUUAGAAUCACGUGAUAAAAUAAAAAAGAUUGUUUGAAAACUCGAAGGAACAUAUAAUUCUUUCUGGUCCCUUUGUCUGCUAAUCAGAUAACUUCAAUAUAAUAAAUUCUUUAUUUUACCAUUUAUUUAUUUAUUCUCCUGCGGAGUAUAGAGAACUGGACAUUACUGCUUCGAGUCUUGGGUCUUAAAAGGUCAGUUGCCCAGGUUCCAUGCUGUAUAAGUGACCGAGAUCGCGUUCCCUCUGAAUGAGGACCAAGUCCAUUACAGGGUUGCCCAAUUACAGCCGGAUGGCUUGGAACAAACGCAAAUAAAGUGUUUUGCUCAAGAACACAACUCGCUGCUCGUUCAAUGAGUCGAAACCAGGUUUUUGCUACCGUGAGUAGAACACCACAGCCAGGAGGCCACGUACCUUCGCAUAAAGAGAACAGAGCUUGCGUUUCAUGGAUCGAGUCCUACCACUCACCACCGGAGUUCAAGAAAGAAUGAAAAAUCCCCACAAAAUACAAAGAAGGAGAUGUAGCGCUUGGCCAUGGGUCAUCGAACGUGUCCAGUAUUUGCUGUGGCAUAUGACAAUGAUUCACAGCUUCGAACUGGGAUUCAAUUACGCUUGAGAUGCAUAUAAUGGCAGCUAAUGAAGCGAUGCAGUAUCGUGCUGGUGAGGCGAUGUUGCGUAAAUGUAAUACACCGCUUCGCUUGUGUUAAAUAUUGAAGGAAGAAAUAUACAGCAUUAUAGAAUUUCGAAGAAAAGAGCCAAUUAAUGACUCUUGCAUUCUAAAUAUACUUUGGUGGCAGUAAUCGUUCAUUUUCCAUUGUUUCCUUAAUCUAUAUAUCUCAUUAAUUGUUAUUUGGCCUCUAGACAUAGUUCAAUACAUUAGCUGGGAAAAUGAAAAUAAACAAAAGUAUGAUGUAAAAAUACAUUUAUCUCACGCGGUGUCAUAAAAAAUUCAGUAAUACAAAUAGGUUUGUUUGUAUUGUCUAAGCCAUAUAUGUGCGUGUGUACAUGCAAAUGUAAAGCGCAUGUACAUAUACGUAUAUAUAUACAUAUGCAUAUACAUAUAUAUAUAUAUGACCUCGUGUGUACCAUUGGCGAUUUUUUCCUCUGUCUUCCCUUCUCUGGAUCUUUCCUUCUCCUAUGUUUCCGACGAAGAGCUCCGCUCGAAACUUUAAACCCUCCUUCUUUCCUUCUUUCUUGAGCAUCCAAUAAUACUAUAUUUGUACCACGUCGUCGCGUUGUUGUGGGAUUUUUUGUGCUUUCUUGUUUGGAUUAACUUUAUAUAUAUAUAUAUAUAUAUAUAUAUAUAUAUAUAUAUAUAUAUACACACACACAUGCACACACUAGAAUCUACAAAUGUACAACACACACAUACAUACAAUUAUAUCAACUUUUAUUCUUUCUUUUUCAACGAGUGAAUUUAUUGAAAAGUGGGUGAAAGUUGCGAAAAUAGCAAGAGUGGAUGGUACCCCUCUAAGUGUAGACCUAUAGGUCGAAGAGAAGGAAUUGGAGAGGGCACUUGCUCAUGGGGUUUCAGAGAAAUCUCGGACGGUGGGGUUCCUCGGUUAUUCCUAGAGACGUUCCUGUAUCAGGAGGGUCACAUCUCUAUGCUAUGCAUAUGUGUCCUCUUUCCCGUGUAUGCUUUUUUUUUUUAUUUAUCAUUUCAUUAUUAUAUGUAAACCCUCACACCUUAUGACUGUCUCUAUAUUGUCCCCCUCAUCUUUCGCCCUUGUGGCAAAUAAAUGAAAUCAUUAUUAUUAUUAUUAUUAUUAUUAUUAUUAUUAUUAUUAUUAUUAUUAUUAUUAUUGUUAUUAUUAUUAUUAUUAUUAUUAUUAUUAUUAUUAUUAUUAUUAUUAUUAUUAUCAUUAUUAUUAUUUACUUUUAAUCUGCGUGUUUGUUACAAUACCAGCGUAUUAGGGCGAGUGGAGGAUAAGAGAUGUCAGAGUAUGUUUCUUUCAGUUUGCGUUUACCUUGCCCACCCACAAGACUAGUCGGCCCGGGGCUUUAGUAGAUUUGCCCAAGUUUCCACACAGGGGAAUUGAGCCGGAACGAACCGGUUGAGAAACAAACUCUUUAUCGUACAGCCACACCUGCUCUUUAAAUUGAAAUUACGCUGAAGAAGAUGCAAAAGAUCGGAACGUAUCUAUACAGAUGAAAAUAAUAAAACAUUAAAUAGACAAAUAAAGUAGCCUUAAAAACUUUUAUAAACUAAAUUAAUUAUAGAGAAAUCUUAAAAAAAAAACUGACUGUCGUCCUAUAAAACAGGUGACUAAAAACAGAUGUCUUGACAACAACCGGAUUUCAACCUCGAUCUGAAUUAGGCCUUCUCUCGUUCUGUGCAGACAUGUUUUGUGGGUGUCUUUAACCACAAGCAAGUAGCUUGGGAACUGGAAAGGAGAAAAAUAGAAAUAAGAUUAUAGAAACAAAGCACAGAUGCAGAUGGAAUGUUUCCCUCCUUUGUUUCUAAAGUUAAAACAGACAAGAUAUGCCCCAUAUACAUACAUACAUACAUACAUACAUACAUACAUACAUACAUACAUACAUAGAUAUAUAUGUAUAUAUAUAUAUAACAAUAAUAAUAAUAAUUAUUAUUAUUAUUAUUAUUAUUAUUAUUAUUAUUAUUAUUAUUACCAUUAUUAUUAUUAUUAUUAUUACCAUUAUUAUUAUUAUUAUUAUUAUUAUUAUUAUUAUUAUUAUUAUUAUUAUUAUUAUUAUUAUUUGAGGGAAUAUUAUUCCUAACUUACAGGGAAAAAUUCAAUUUAGAAACACUAAAUCAAAUUUCACAAAAUAUAAUAUAUGCAUAUAUAUAUAUAAAUUAGAAAAAAUACCUUUCAUCAAUUCAAGAUGAACGAUUAAAUUACACCAUCUAGAAAAUUACAUAUAAUAGAAAUAUUAAAAUUGAAAUAAUAAUAUACCGAUGAUUAUGUAAACUGUAAAAUAAUAAUAAAAUUUAUAUAUUAUGUAUAUAUGUAUAUAUAUAUAUAUAUAUAUAUAUAUAUAUAUAUAUAUAUAUAUAUAUAUAUAUAUAUGAGUAAGGCACACCUUUAUGAAUAUCGUGACUGUGGAGUUGAAGUUAAUUAACUCGCAUAAUAGUUGUUCCUUGUUCACUGCGUACCCGCCAUUAAAUGGUAUUUAAGUCACAAAUGAAGCACAAACAGAACACAGAACCGGAUAUAAGAGGGAAAUAAGAAUCACGCGAAAAAAGAUACUGAUUGCUUAUUCACAGAAAUAAUUAAUGUUAACAAAUUAUUUUCGCAAGAAACAAGAGAAAAGCAUUUUAAUUGAAAAUGAAUUGCAAAAUUAAUUAUUUGAUAAUUUUAAUUUUUUCUCUUCUUCGUAGAAUAUAAUUAUAAUUAUAUUUAAAGGUUUAUAAUUAUUUAUAAGUUUCUUUUUGCUUCCUUACGAAAAUUUUCUUUUGUUCGUUUCUUAUUUUUUCUUUUCUAUUUAUCUUUUUAAUUGUAUCGUUUUUUUCCAUUUUUCUUUAAUUCAGGAUUACGUUUGUUUUUUAUCUUAUUUUUAAUUCUAUUUUCUCUUGGUGGAUUUAAUUGCAUAUGAUAUUAUUAAAUGAAAUUAUUGAUUUCCAUUAUAAUUUUUAUUUCGUUAUUUGAUUAUUUGAUAUUUAUUUAGAUAUUAUUUUGUUACUCUUUUACCAUUCUCAGACUUCAAAGAAAGGAAUGUCUUCUUUUUAUUCUGGAUGUUCCUUUUGUCAUAUUCUUAUUAAAAGCUUUAUACACGCACACACACACACACACACACACACACACACACACACACACAUAUGUGUAUAUAAUAUGUAAGCAUGCAAUGAUAUGAAUACAUCUAAUGAAUGGCUUUGUUAAGAACAAUGACCAUGGAAUACGCAAGGGUGUUUAUACCCGAGAGCAAAUGUCGUAAUUUAAGAGUCAGGCGAGUAUUUAAAGGUCAAUCUUUGGUCUCUGUAGCAUAAUUUUCUGUGAUAAAGAAUUUCCUGUUAUCGUUCUCACAUAUUCGCAACGUUGCCAGGACAAUUUACAUAGAUUCUUGUGAAUAUUUUCUUGUUAAUGAUAUUUGGCUUCAAGAAAGCUUUCAUUGAUUAGGCCUAUGACCAAAAACAUUCCUUCCCUGACCAUCCAGGUUCAUUAUGAAUCCAACAACAUAGUGGCUGAUGUGCAAUGUAAAGUGGAAAGAAAGGAGUGUGGAGUGCGGGGGUGCUCUGAACUUUUGAUAAACAAAACUGUCUGAAGUAAAAAGGAAGCCUUGCGAUAGUAAGACUUUGCUUAGAGGAAAGAACACGACUCUGUUCCUCUCUCUCACGGCUACUGAAGUGUCUCUAUUUCGCAAAGUACCUGCUACCUUAAUUGUUGCUAUUGAAAGACUCACAAAGACCUGGGCAACUAUUUUCCCAUUGCUGAGAGCAGAAGGAACAUCUCUAACGUUACAAAUAUUUCAAAGGGAAUAUUCCAAGGAGAUAGUCUUUCUGUAAUUCUGUUCAGUUUGGCGUUAAAUCCAUUAUCAUUCUUGCAACAAAAAAAUCAAAUGGCUACAUGCUAGGAUCAGUAACUGCUAGAAUCACCAAUGUAACCCGUAAUUUCUUUGUAAAUUACCCAAAGAGUUAUGCGGAAAACGUCAAGAAUGCCAAACAUUUUCAGCUGAUAUAAGAAUGGAAUUUGGCCAAAAGAAAUGUUCACAUUUGACUGUUGAACGUGAAAAAUCGGUCUCUCAUACAUCAAACCUGUGCAUCAACGGUCUCACUAUCUCCCAUGUUCCUCACAAAGAAUGCUGCACAUAUUUAGGUAUUGAUGAAAGCAUAUAAUGGAAUGGUGCUGUGAAUAAAAAUAAGGUAACUCGAAAAUAUUACACCAGAUUUAGAAAAAGAUGACAGUCGGAACUCUUACCUACUACAACACAAUAUCCCGCAAUGCAUUUUCAAUACCUAUGUAGAUUCCAACUUUUUGGAUACUUGACUGAUUACCUCAUAUACAACCCCAUAAGAACUGCAGUUACAUACGUCAAAGAAGCCUUAGAUCUGAAACGCUCAGCAUACCAAAAAAGACAAGGCAUGGGUAUCCAAAGGCUUGAAGAAGACAGUAAUAUCGGCAUGACGUACAACCUUCCCUUGGCACCGUGACUGCUACAUCUCAUCACACUUCGAAGGUUAUACAUUUGCAAUCCAAGAAUAGCAGGCGACUAGGAAAUACCUAAUAAAAAAAAACAGCGAAGUCUUUGGAGAUGAUCUCGAGAUGCAACCAAAAAUGUAGAUUCUGUCAUAUUCUUAUGGAAGACAUCACACGGGAUUAGCAGCCGUUCAAAAAUGUCAUCAAGGGACUACCUCCCGAGGCGACAAGGCUUCUUGCAAAACCAAUAUACAAUGCCAUUCAAAACAAAACAAAAAAUGUAUGUCUUUGAAUAAAUAUAGAGAAUCUCCCGAUAAUUGAAUGCAUACACAAGCAUCAACACAAAGAAUAUUAAUAGACCUUUCCCUUCAAAACUCCUGUCAAGUGUAAACAUUACAGGCCGGAGACUUUUGUUUGCGACAGACGAGUAAAGUAUGUACAAUCAUAGAAAUCGUCGACCCUGCUCAGAUGAAUAUCUCUUCGAAAAUCCUAAAAUCAAGAGGAUAACCGCGGACGGCUGCUUCGAGAUCCUCAGUAUCUCUAUCCAGAUUAUAAAUUCAUAAUAAUGAUAAUAGGUGCAUUUGGUUUUGUAAGUAAAUACCUGAGUAGCAAUAUGGAUAAGCUGGGGUCUUCAGAGAAAGAAAUCAACCGGCUAAUUCGUAUGUUUACUAAUACAACUUGUAAGAGGAAUAGUAAAAAUAUAUAAGACUUUUUCAAGUUGAUAAUGUGAAGACGGAGCUUUGUAUCUUAAUUAGAAAUCAUUUCCUUCCUCGGAAAAUUUCAAAUAAUUGAAUUCAGAACAGAGCAAACACACGCACACACACACACACACGCACACACACACACACACACACACACACACACACACACACACACACCCACACAUAUAUAUAUAUGUGUGUGUGUGUGUGUGUGUGUGUGUGUGUGUGUGUGUGUGUAAACAUAAAAUGCUGCACAGAAAGACGAUAGAUAGAUAGAUAGAUAGAUAGAUAGAUAGAUAGAUAGAUAGAUUUUAAAAUUACAUUAUUUACAAUUGACGGGUAUCUGUCCUCGUCUUGUUUGUUAACACAACGUUUCGGCUGAUAUACAAAAAAAUGGGACAAGAACGCAAAACAUCUAGACAGUUGGAUGGUACGAAAAAGGGACAACAAAACAUCCAGACAGAUGAUGCAAAAAGGGACAAGGAAAAGCAAGGUCGAGUCAUUCGGAGUUUUCUUUCCUCAGUCGAGCUCCAGAUUAUCUUUGCAACUUCGGCUGGUUAUACUCGAGAUUGCUCCAGACUUGUCAACCCCAAGCAGCAAUUUAAGCGGUGAGGUUCAUUAUACAUGAUUCGUGAUUGGUAUGUUGUUCUUGCAAAGUUAGCGAUACUGAAAACUGCCGCGUAGUUGAUUUUCGAAAGAAUUUUUCUCUAAAAAGACUAUUUUAGCAGAAAUGUUGUAACACGGGUAUAAAUAAAUUAAAAGGAAGCCUACAGCUUUUGGGAUACUCGGCUCUGUUCGAAUGAUCUGCUGCUGAUGAGGAUCGUUUCAGGCAUCCACCUCGUUCUUAUUUCGAGAGACGGGAGUGAAGCACGUGUGCUGCCAGGAAUAGCCUGACACACACAACCAGGGUGGUGAAGCAAAACACGAAAGAAGUGGGUGGGUGGUAAUGUAAUGACAGCGAUGUUUGUGCUGUAAAUAGUCUCGUGGAGGAAACGAAAACGAAUGGAACUGCAAAACAAGAACGAAACGCCAGCAACAUAAGCACGAACGGUAACAGGAGCAGCUGCACCAACGGUGAUGUUAGCACCAACUGUAGGAGCAACAGAACAAUAAGAGCAUAACAACGCUGAGGACAGCGACGGUGCGGCGGAGGGCGGCGGCGGCGGCGCAGUCCGAGUAUUUGUAAACGAAUGCUUAACUUUUAGUAUUUGCCUCAAUGCCCGUCACACUCCAGCGCAAAUGUCUAUGGGAUUUUGGUUUAUAUCCAAAUAUUAAAACUUUCCCCCACGCAAAAGCAAAAAAUAUCAGCUUAUCAGCUUGCACUUGUAUGAACACAACUUGGAACUGUUCCAGCACAUACACAAGAAGUUCUAUCUACGUGUGUGUACACGUGUGGAUAAUGUAUAUAUUCAUGCAUAUACAUACAUACAUACAUACAUACAUACAUAUAUAUAUAUAUAUAUAUAUAUAUAUAUAAGUAUAUGUAUAUAUAUAUAUUUAUGCAUACAUUAUAUAUGUGUAUGUAUAUAUACUCUUUUGAAUAUAUAUAUAUAUAUAUAUAUAAACGUAUAUAUAUUUAUAUAUAAUUUUAUGAAUACAGAUUCCUACACACACACACACAUAUAUAUAUAUAUAUAUGUAUAUAUAUUAUGUAAUGUAUUAUUAUAUAUAAUUAUAUAGUAUGGCUACACACACAUAUAUAUAUAUAUAUAUAUAUAUAUAUAUAUAUAUAUAUAUAUAUAUAUACUUAUGUACAUACAUAUAUACAUACAAGCAUAAACACAUAUACAUGUAUAUAUAUACACACACACACUUAUUGUGUUUAUCAAUCUAGUUAUUUAUAAUAGCCAUUUGGCUACCUUCCGGCUGUUGGGUGAUGAUGUAUACAGAAGACUUUUUUCUUUUAUUUUCAUAUUUUGUUUUGUUGUGUUGGGCGGAGAAAAUGUCGUUUGAAUGAGAAAUUAAAUCAUGGUCAUUAAGGCGAAAGACCCUUUGGCGAAGGUAAUUUGCUCACCUCCACCACAACCACGAACCCUUUGUUCUCUCACGGCGAGUAAGUAAAUUUGGUGUGAGAAAACCACGAGAAAAAGUUAGGAAUUCUGCUAGGGUUGUCUGGUGAAUUUCAAACUGAGGGAAUAAAGCGACACACUAAGAAGUUGCGGAUAAACGAAAGUAAAACUCGAGGGAAGGAGACAGAUAUGUCAGAUUGUGAUAGAUACUAUGGUAAGCAAAUACGAGCGACAGAGGCCGACAAACAGAAAAACAAAGGAAAAAUAAUGCGGGCUGUACAACAAGGAUCCCGAAACAUUAGGUCACAAACCAGUGCCUGGCUGCAGAUCAUUUGAUAACGGUCCGACUACAAGAAUAGAUUUUGAAAGCUUAUUUCUGUUUUGUUGACCAUCGCAGCUUGCAGAGCGUCUUUGCAUGAUAUAUGUAAUAUAUGUGUAAUAUGUGAAGGCGCAUGGCUCAGCGGUUAGAGCGUCGAGCUUACGAUCGUGAGGUAAUGAGUUCGAUUCCAGGACCGGGCUGCGUGUUGUGUUCUUAAGCAAGACACUUUAUUUCACGUUGCUCCAGUUCACUCAGCUGCAGAAAUGAGUUGCGACAUCACUGGUGCCAAGCUGCAUCGACCCCUUUGCCCUUCCCUUGGAUAACAUUGGUGGUGUGGAGAGGGGAGACCGGUAUGCAUGGGCGACUGCUAACCUUCCACAAACAACCUUAACCGGACUUGCGCCUCGGAGGGGAACUUUCUAGGUGCAAUCCCAUGGUCAUUCAUGACAGAAGAGGGUCUCCUUAUGUAAUAUAUAUAUAUAUAUAAUCAUAAAUAGUAUAUAUACUACAUGUGUAAUAUAUAUAUUAUCUAAAAUAUAUGUAUUAUGUAUGUAAUAAUCAAAUUAUAUAUUAUGCACUUUAUUGUGUUUUGUUACGUGCAUGAAAGAUUGUCUUGCACAGAACUUGUCUGUGGUGCAAAAAAAGACCGCUGUUUUAAAACAACUAGAAUUAUACAAUAGCCUUGGAUUUUGGAGGUUAAAGAAUAAAUAUAAAUAUUCUUUUCUUUUCUACUCUAGGCACAAGGCCCGAUAUUUUUGGGAAGGAUGAAAGGUAAAAAUCGACCUGGGCGGAAUUUGAACUCAGAACGUAAAAACUGACGAAAUACCGAUAUGCAUUCCGCCCGGCGUGCUAACGUUUCUGCCAGCUCACCGCCUUGGAAUAUUCUUUUUUCUUCUGGGCACAAGGCCCGAAAUUUUUGGAAAGGGGGCCAGUCGAUUACAUCGACCCCAGUACGCAACUGGCACUUAAUUUAUCGUCCCUGAAAGGAUGAAAGGCAAAGUCGACCUCGGCAGAAUUUGAACUCAGAACAUAAAGACCGACGGAAUACCGCUAAGCAUUUCGUCCCGCGUGCUUAACGCUUCUGCCAGCUCGCCGUCUUAAUAAAUAUAAAUAUUGGGGCUUUACUGGGUACCCUUUUGUAACGAGACCAAUUUGUAUUAGUGCAUUUUUAAGAACAUUUUUGUUCUUUAAAAUUUGGUUUAUACAGACGCACCACGCUUAUUUGUUGUGAUUGAUUAAAUUACGACGAUUCACAUGAGUUAUUUGAUAUUUAUUGAGACCCGUAUCAUAAUUAAUUGAGUGUUGCGUGGAAACUGUAUCGCAUAUCCAAUCACGCUGCGCCGCAUAAUAUGUUUCAAACUACUAAUACUGUACGUGUCCUACAGCCCCCUUUUCUCCAUAAAAUCAUGCGACAAAUUAUUUACGAAUCAGAGGAGUAAGAGCUAACAUUGUGUCGAGUCUGAAGAUCCUGCUGUCCAGAAGAGGAUCGAUAUAUAGCGGAGCCCAAGCAACCAAUGACAAUCCAGGCUGAAUUAUCAAAAUGAGAGAUGAACAACAAGCUACAGAACUUGGAAUGCUUCUUGCUUUGAUCCGCUGUUCCACUUCAGGAAGGAAUACAGUCCCGUUUUUUAUUUUAAAGACAGUUUCUUUUGUUAUUUAUACAAACGAACACGCGAAGUAUAUUAUACACUGAUAUACACGAUUCAUUAGUAAAAACUGGGAGACUUCCUCGUAAAACCUUCGAAACUCAGCGAAUCAUUACUAAAGCGAAAAACGAAGUAACACAUUUAAAACCUACAAUAAAAGAAAUAGAAUUUAAAAAGUAGAAAUAAAUAGACGACCAAAAACAUAUCUCGUAUAUUGACUAGGAAACCCAUUUAAUAUCAAAGCACUUGAAUUUAUACUCAACUAGCGCUAUUUCCUAUUCAAUUGACGUCAACAGAUUAUACAUACCCAUUCAGCUAUUCAGGAUAUAUAUCGAUCAGUGAAUAUCGAUCAAUCUAGUGUUCUCCAUCAAACCACAUUAAGCCCUCCCGUUCAUAUUCUCGUCCCCUGAACGCUUGCACGUGACGACAAAGAAAUUUGAGUAUAUUUGUUUUCGUACAAAUAAAUCUAAAAUAUAUAUUUGGUAUUCUUCCUUUCAUUUAGGAAUUCCUGCAUAGAUAUAGAUAUACGCAUACAUAAGACAGUAGGAGAAGGCUGAAGAGUAAUUUGGCUGUUAUUUCUGCAAUAUGGUGGGGGUAUAUCGUGUGGAAGUUGCCUCGUUGGCUGGGACAGUAAUGCUGCUUUUAAAUGAGAAGUGGAUAGUAUUUCUGUCAGUUGUAGAUAUAAUUUAAAUGUCCUCCCUCCCUCUGUCUAUCUGUCUCUCUGUCUCCCUCCCUCUCUCUCUCUCUCUCCCUCUCUUGUUCGCUCUUACAAACAUACAUACAUAAAGAAACCAGUACAAUAUGAUAUGAAGACAUUUUGGUUGCUGUAUCUCUCAGGUCAAAAUAAGAGGUGGAGAUUUUGUCGAUGCUUCUAACAUAUAUAAAUAUAUUGGAGAGGAAGGUGUGAUUUGAGGGUGGUCCGGCAGGUAUCCGUGGUUAACUCAAACGUUCAUAAGGCAGUAAGAAAAUUUACGGGAGAUGUAGCUACUAUUUCUAACAGGUCUAGUUACCACAUAGAGAUGUAAUUUAUGCGUUCAUAUAUCCAAUCAUACAUACGUACAAACGUAUGUAUGUAUGUAUGUAUGUAUGUAUGUAUGUAUGUAUGUAUGUAUGUAUAUAUGUAUGUAUGCGUAUGAGCUACAUUAAUCCUCAAGUUGAUCCCAGAAUCCAUGUCAUUAAGGAUAGUUCCUUGAACAGUACGGACUCUCCCCUCAUCAAGCAUCACAUUCCCUCAGUUCGUCAUGUCGUCAGUCUUAAUCAAUUUUUUCCGUAACUGCUAUGUAUGUUAUGGUGAAUUACUUCCCAGUACCCGUUUUCAGCACAUACCACAAAUCAGUUCCAUGAAGCCCCUUUUUUGAGAAACUGUAAUUCUUUGAAUAUUAAUUUUGACAAUCAGGAGGAACUUGCAAUUAAUAAAAUGGGAAUGGAGCUCUAUGACCAUGAAAAUCAGUUUGCAGUUUUAGAAAAAUUAAAUCGUCCUUCAAACUGAGAAACAUAAUGCCCGAAAAUUGCAAGUUGUUGGAGUUCCAUACUGUAGAGGUCCCAAACAUGAUUUCAUUGGCACUUUCUAUAGUGGUACUAUAAUUUCGAAUCCGAUCGGGUCAACUAUGAAUGAUGGCAUAUCAAGAGACCUGUACAAGUUGUUUAUAGACAUACAGUUCAAUGAGCCUCACCCAAUCACUGCUGCUUAUAAUGUUCAAAUGGCUGCUCAUUGAAUCUUGAGUUUUAAAAAAUGCAAAGGACAAAUCCGUACUUCAUAAAAUCCUCAACUAAAUCCGUGCUACAUUUUUCUUUUAAAAUGUGGGCCCUGGACACAAACAGCGACGUACCAAACACAGACAAAUCGCUGCGCAGUGAGAAAAUAGAAAGGCAGAAAAUCGAAUCGAUGGUUGCCGUAUGUGUGUAUGUGCUUUUGCGUGUGAACAUGUGGAAGGUAGGUCGAGAACAGGAUGAGGCAGAGAGAGAGACAGAGCUACGAGUGCUUUGAAUUGCAAGUCUCAAUUACACACUCCGAUUUGCUUGAACGAUUGAACUGAGGCAACAGAACAAAAUAAUAUUUACAAACAACGAAAUCGGUUCGUCUAUAAUACAAUGGUAUUUAGUUGGCGGAAACAAAGCAUCAGAACAAGCGUCUCAUUCAUUUGUUUCCUUUGAUACAGAGAGAGGCUGAUAUUUUAUCCUGUCAUUUACCAAAACAGAUAUUUUCCUGUUUUCAAUAUCAUAUAAAUAGAAAUCGGCUCUUAUUGACGAAGGGUCUGUGUUGGUUGUUAUUUAUUUUUUUUGUUUUAUGUGGUCAUCUUCACGCUACGUUAAAUCCAUUGCUUUGGGCAUGAAAUAUUACAACCUGUUGAUAGUCGGAAAUAUUUCAAUAAAUAGCAAUAGAAUUGCUGUAAGAAUUUACCGAUUCAGAUCUCAAAAUUACCACAAAAAAUAAAUAAUCUAAUAGGUGGCUAUACAUCUCCGAAGAACAUAUAUCGCACCUUCUGGAGCAUUUAUUACAGAGGUACGUACAUUAUGUAAUAGACCAAUCGAUCUCAUUAUCUUUGAUAUAAACGUCCAUUGAAUUUUAUGUAUAUUGGAAUAUUGAAUCAAUAAUUAGUAUUUCUGAGAUUAUGAAUGUAGACAGACGUUGCAAGGAUGUUUCUUUAGCUUUUUUGUAAGUACUGUAUAGUUUCCCAUUUUUGUCCAGAAGCGAGACCUUAACUCGAUAAAUUAAUGGUUAAUGGUUAGAAAGAAACGUGCCAAUGAGAGGACAUACAGUACGGUUGCUCCAAUUGCAGCGAUGAAAAUAAUGUAGCUUUCUGUAUUGGUAAGAUUUCUCAUGUCAUUCGUUAUGGAGACAUCGAUGAACUUAGUGCAAAUGUAGCGCAAUUUAACUGGCUAAAAUAUGAUAUUUCUGACAAAAUGUUUACGAUUUGGCAGAUGGUUCUUUGCCAUUAAAUCCAUCCUUCAUUAACACUUAAGCAUCAUCAACAACAGCCAUAUCUCUUGCUUACGAAUGUCUUCAUGUCUUCCUAAUACACAGGUUCAUUACCUACUCUUGUACAAAAACAGAUUGAAGUAGUAUGUGUUCUCUACAUCCCAAAGAUCAGAUGAUCGUGUGAUGCCUUUUCUAAAGACCUACUUCGGCAACAAAUCAAAUCUCGAUGUGCGGCUGACUUUUGCGGUAUGAUGAUUCGGGCGUUAUUUUUCUUGGUCCCUUAAUUCAAUCGUUUGAGCAAUCAGAAACGGGUAACUCUGUGCUAUAAUUUCCGUAUCAGAGCAAUUACCCCCUAGGACAAUUACCCCCACCCCAUAGGACAAUCCCCCCCCCCCGACGACAACUACCCCCCAGGACAAUUAUUCCCUUGACUAAUUCUAUUGAUCGAAUUUCGUUAUUCUUCUAAUUUUGCGGUUGAUGGUGUCGUGUAUGCGCUGGCUAUGUUCAAUUUGCUUUUUCAAGUGAGAGUAGUCAGCCUACAAAUCGAGUUGGAGAUGGAAGUCCGCAUUGUGUUUAAUAAAGUAAAAGAGAAGGCAGCAAUCUACAUGGUGUUCGCCUUUCAGAUAAGUGACUAGUUCUUUCGCUUCAGUAUUUAUAGUGUAGUAUACAGGGAAAGAUACGUUAUGUACAUUAUUUACAUUAUUUACAUUUGAAGGAUAUUUGUCCUCAUCUUGUUUGUUGUUAACACAAAGUUUCGGCUGAUAUACACUCCAGCCUACAUCAGGUGUCUUGGGGAGAUUUCGAACCUGGGUUCUCAUUCCUAAGGUGUUUUUCUAUGUUAUUAUUAUUAUUAUUAUUAUUAUUAUUAUUAUUAUUAUUAUUCUAUGUUUGACUUUUGCUUUAUUUUUGUACAAGUUGGCUCCAAGUCUCACCCAGAGACCUCAAGAGACAACAGGUUGGAAGUUCACGUUGUUGUUAUGCCUAGUGUGCCCUAUAUUUGGGUUUUGUUUUGGUGUUGUACUAGUGAAUGUCUAAUAAAUAAAUAAAAAAAAAGGUUUGUUUUAAACCUUGGGAUUACAUAGAGAGUAUUUUGCGUAGGAUAUGAGCAGGAUAUUAUUAUUAUUAUUAUUAUUAUUAUUAUUAUUAUUAUUAUUACUAUUCAGGUUAUUAUACUAGCUCCAGGAUUAUGAGUUCGAUUCCAGGCAGUGACCUGAAUAAUAAUAAUAAUAAUAAUAAUAAUAAUAAUAAUAAUAAUAAUAAUAAUAAAAUCGAAAAACACCUUUGGAAUGAGAACCCAGGUUCGAAAUUUCCUCAAGACACCUGAUGUAGGCUGGAGGGUGUAUCAGCCGAAACGUUGUGUUAACAACAAACAAGAUGAGGUCAAAUAUCCGUCAAAUAUCCGUCAAAUGUAAAUAAUGUAAAUAAUGUACAUAAUUCCUCAUCUCUUAAAUAUAGAACUGUGUUACAGAGAAAGAUGUUUUGUAUAAUUUGGUAGUCUUAUUUGCAAAGAGAGUUGUGAGUGCUGCCGUGACUUAGUUUGUAAAUGAUCUGGGUAUAUAACGAUGCAGCUCAGACGGGUUGUCUCCAUUACAACUUGAUAGUCUGACAAUAAAUACACCUGCAAUAGUUUCGGCUAAUGCAGUAGAAAUGCAUCCACUUACAGCGCUAUUUCUAAGAGCAUCUGAAAGAUUCCAUGCAUAUUCUAUACGAGUGCUAAAUAAUUUACAAGAACAACGUAUAAAGUGGAAUAUAAGAGACUGAUUGGAAGACUGCUAGAAAACACUUUUUAACUUUAACCUUAAAAACCUGAGUGACGGAUAGCUUGAGGAAAAUAAAAAUACUCCCCUUUUAGGCAAAUAUUUGACAAUUAGUUUGCCGUUAUAAAGAGAAUAUGUUAUUAUUUAAUGCAAGCAGGCUCAGAAUGUUAAUUUUUACCAUUUAAUCUAAACAUCAUUUCAACCAUUCACAGAUGCUAUCUGCACAAGAGUCUAUGCACAGCUUAGCUUUGCCUGUCAUCCUUCUGCUGACAGUGAAAUAACUAUAUAUAAUGAGAAUUUACGAUAAAGCAAAAGAAGAAGACGGGUGUGUAAACAACAAACAUGUGUUAGUUUAACGCUCAGGAGGUAAGAAAGUCUUUUACGUUUCGAGCCUACGCUCUUCAACAGAAAGGAACACAGAAAUAAACAGAGAGAGAAAAUAAAAAUGAUAAAGUGGCUAACGAUCUAUCAUGCCGACUGCCGGACAGAGGGGUCAGACAAGAGAGCUAGGAAGAAGGGGAGGUAAUAAAGUAGUGGUGAUCCCAAAACGACGGUGCAGGUGCGGUGCGUGUGUAUGUCAGAGUGUGUAUGCGCGUGUGGAUGGGGGCUGGUGAUCUGAUUUGAGCGUGUCUGCAUGUGUGGGUGUGUGGUGUGGGGUGUGGAAAGAUAUAUAGCAAGAGGAAAAGAAGGAAUAAUGCAAAAAAUGUUACCAAUACAAGCGAGAUUAUAUUUUGUGGAUCAUUGUCGUUGCUGCUGUUGUUGUUGUUGAGCGAACGGUCCUUUGCUAUUCGUAAGACCCGCAGAAGAGAAAGCAGGCCAACCCCGACACCGAGAGCAUCGACGGAUGGAUGAAUGUGCAUCCAGGCUCAGUGUUUGCGUAGGAAGUCGGGGACAAGAAACAAGAAGAGAGAGUGAGAGAAAGUUGGGGCGAAAGAGUACAAAAGGGGUCACCGGAGCCUCGUGGAGCUUUAGGUGCUUUUGCUCAAUAAACACACAACGCCCGGUCUAGGAAUCGAAACCGCGAUCCUCCGACCGCGAAUCCGCUGCCCUAACCACUGGGCCAUUGCGCCUCCACCGUCGUUGAUGCUGUUAUUCUCCUUAGCUAGCUCUUAAGUCAGCAAACCGAUGUUGGCAUACGUUCCAGUUGCGACCUCAUCACAGUUUUUUCAGACAUUCUGUAUAUAGAACAACACUUAACCGACACAUCCUUCCAUCUUUCAGACAGUAGUGUAUGAUUUUUACGGAUGUGUAAUCGCUAUUAGUAGCAUGUUGGGCAACUACGUAUACACUCACUCGUUGGCAUAUUGGAUAAGAGACCCUACCAUCACCGAGAUGUGUUUCAUUAUCUUGUUUGAGGACGAUGCGGUGGAUUGUUUCUUGGAACGCAAAGAUUUUUAUUUCUAGUUAUGUAUUUUCUUCUCAAAUUACACAAGACAGUCGUAAAGAUAUGCUCCAUAUUAAUAACCAUUGUUUUUCUUUGAGGCAAUUCCUGAAAAAUACAGUUAUUUACUGUCUAAACUAAGUGUACGUAAACAGCUAUUUUGCCCUGUAUGCAUCUAAAUAUAUAUAUGUAUAUAUAUAUAUAAUAUAUGUGUCUGUGUAUCUAUGUAUGUAUAUAUAUAUAUAUAUAUAUAUAUAUAUAUAAUGUAUGCAUGUAUGUAUGUAUGUGUCUGUGUAUCUAUGUAGGUAUAUAUAUAUAUAUAUAUAUAGGUUUGGUAGAACAAAUAGGAGAAAUAGAACAGAAUGUGCAUACACACACACACACACAUAUAUAUAUAUAUAUCAAUAAAAUAUAUACUCAUUUGUAAGAACGUGUGUGCCUAUAGAUAAAUAGGUGGGGGAGAUAGAGCAACAAGGGAAUUGUGGGAGAUAAAUGCAGGAAAAUGUAGAUAUGUGUUGUUCGCAUGUCUAAACCUUCCCGCAUGUGUGUGUAUCUGUAGUGUACCUGUACGUGCAUGAUUAUGUGUCUAUGUAUGCUAGUGUGCAUGGAAUGUGAGACAUUGAGUCCAUUUAGAUAAUGGAUGAUAUGUUCCUUGUUUUCCGUUUAGCCACCGGGUAUCAGUUAAGUGAAUUACUUAUUUACACAAAUAAUCAUUAAUGUGAAGCCACAUUCGUAUAAUACUUACUUACACACGAUCGCAUGCACACUCGCUCAUACAAGUAUGUAUACAUAUGCACACACACAUAUAUAGACAUAUAUUAUUUACAUGUACAUACGAAUAUAUAUAUAUAUAUAUAUAUAUAUAUAUAUAUAUAUAUAUAUGUACUGUUGUAUGAACAUAGAAACAUACACACAAGCAUAUACUCAUAUAUGUGUGCGUGUGUAUGUGAGCAUGUAUGUAUAUGUGCAUAUAUAUAUAUAUAUAUAUAUACAUAUAUAUAUAUAUAUAAUUAUAUAUAUAUAUAUAUAUAUACAUUACAUACAUAUGUAUAUAUAUAUAUAUAUAUAUAUAUGGAUAGAUAUACGCUCAAACAUAUUCACGCGUACACAUACUCACACAUAUAAUAUACAUAUGCAUAUACCUUUAUCUCGCCAUUUCUCUCUUCCUCUCCCUCUUUCUUCUUAUACAUUAUCUACAUAAUUUUAUAUCCAAAUAUAUAUCUGCAUCUACACCAAUGUGUGUAUCUAUAUAUUUUACAUGGUUCCACUCUAUGUAAAACACAGUGCCUAUAUGCUCUAUAAUUACUGUUUGUUAUUAAAUAUACUGUUUAACAAUUUCAAUUCUUCAAUUCCUUAAACUAAAUUUUAAUGGUGAAUUUUUACCUUUUCUUUUUUGGAAAAUUUCACUUAGUUUUGAAUAAAAACAUAUUUGAAAACAGGGUCAACUAAAUUACGUUUUUUUUUUUAAAAAGAAAAAAAGGAAAUCAUUCCUUUCAGCGAAAGAAUUUUGCUAAUAUAUAUAUUUAUAAUUAUAUAUAUAUAUAUAUAUAUAUAUAUAUAUAUAUAUAUAUAUAUAAAGGGACAUGUAUGUAUAUGUAUAUAUAUGUAUGUACUGUAGAUGUAUAUCCGUCUCUUUUCCCCUCUCUCUCUCUAUUGAUAGAUAGAUAGAUAUAGAUAUAUGUAUACAUACAUACAUAUAUAUAUAUAUAUAUAUAUAUAUAUAUAUAUAUAUAUAUAUAUUGUACAAUUAAUCUUUAUUUAGAAUAUUUUUUGCGCAUGAUUAGUGAAGAAUUCUUCUCUGAGCAACAGAGGAGUUAGCUGUUUAUCCGCCCAAUUCUUUGUGUCGUGAAUACGUUGUAUAAUCACUCUUAUAGAGAACUCCAUAAAGGGUUUGUAAACGAAGUUUGUAGAUCUGAAUAAGUUAGUAUAACUUUAAAAGACCUGGAUUCAAACGAUUUGAGCUGAAUCCAUCUUAAUUUUUUCUCUUCCUACACUAAAGAAAAUGCACGAAUUAUUUUGUAGCUGCUCUUUAUGCUCUCGCUCUUGUGUCGUAGUUCCAGAUCACCCUUAAGCAGCUAGUUGUGAUACUCUGGUGUUUUUGACGUGUCUCGUUAACACUUAUCGCUUUAUGUUUCCUAUCGUCGUUUGGUCAUCGGUAGUUUUUGAUCCAACAGAUCUAUGAUCAAAAACGUUUGAAGCUCUAGCUUUUUUUCUUUUUUUAAAAAAAACAUAAUGCAUCUAGGACUAUUUCAUUUAGUGUACCUGUUCUGUUUUUCGCAGCAGAAUGGGAUUUGAGGACGAUCUGACUGCUGUUUUCACCAGGACAAACCACUUCAUUGCCUCCUCGCGUUUUGGCCUUGAUCUGCCUCUUAUUGCCGGAUCAAUUUCAGUCGACGUUCCACUCACAACGAUUGAUCUUCCAGAAAAGUCAUCGAUGUCUUAGCUAUGAUCGACGUUCCAGUCAACACGGUCAGCGAUCCAAUUUUGAUGACCGAUGCAAGGGUCAAAGUAGUCAACUUCACAAUCAUGAUGACAAACGUUCAAAUUCUGAUCCUGAUCACUCUGGUCGCGGUGGUCGACAUUCCAGUAAAGGUGAUUCACCUUCAAAUUAUGAAGAUCAGCGUUGCACUCACGAUGACCGAAGUUCCAUUUCCUGAAUAAUGGAACACCCAAUCCCGAUGAUCGAUGUUCCGGUUGUGUUUAUCGUUCCAGUUUUGAUGAUCCCAUUUUAUAAUCACAAUAUAUUUAGGACCUCAGGGCCCCAAUACGUCCUUUCUCUUAAGAUAAUUAAGGGUGAGUUUAGGGAUACUUAGCCUCUUAUUUUAAGAGGCCAAACGACUGUAAGGAUACCUUGUGAUUAGUUAGUCAUCUUCGAGAAACCGUAAUCUGCCAUCUCUGUAGAUUAUGUUAUAUAACAGGGAAAAACCUAACCGGAACACUUCUUCGAGUUAUUCCAACUGAUCUGAUCGUUCUACCAACGAUAAAAAAACGACAAUCAGAUUCCCAUCAAAUCCCAUCCUACAGUGUUAUUUAAGGAAAGAAAUAGGGGAUAAUGCAGUCUGGAUACAUUGGUCUUAUUAGAUCAUAGGAUCUCUUGAACGAUAACAAUCGAAAAUGCUGAACAAUGCUCUGACUGUGGCUUUCAGUAUUGAAGUAUAUACCAACAGCCUAGUGAUUCUAUUUGCUCCAAAUAACAAGUUCACGUCACUGUUCCAAACUGACGUCGUUAAAACUACAUCACUUGACACUACAUUUACACUAAAGUUUAUCGAACUUCUCUUUUGUUUUCUUUUCCAUCGUUAAUCCUAUUAAUAACGAUAGCUGUUGGGGAUUAUUUAUUCAUCAGUCAUACACUCAGCUGCAGCGACAUAUUAACGAGAGUUAUAUAUAUAUGUGUGUAUAUAAUUUAGCCAACAGAUCUAUGAUCAAAUAAUAAUUAUUUGAGGGAAUAUUAUUCCUAACUUACAGGGAAACAUUCAAUUUAGAAAUACUAAAUCAAAUUUCACAAUAUAUAUUUAUAUAUAUAAAUUAGAAAAAUACCCCUUUUAUCAAUUCAAGAUGAACAAUAAAUUACACCAUCCAGAAAAUUACAUAUAAUAGAAAUAUUAAAUAUAAAAUAACAAUAAUAUACCGAAGAUUAAGUAAAUUGCAAAAAAAAACGUAUAUAUUUGGUAUAUAUAUAUAUAUAUAUAUAUAUAUAUAUAUAUAUAUAUAUAUAUACAUAUAUGCAUAUAUAUGCAUAUAUAUGCAUAUAUAUAUAUAUAUAUAUAUAUAUAUAUAUGCAUAUAUAAGUAUAUAUACAUACAUAUAUUUGCGCGCGAUUGCGUGUGUGUGUGGAAGGAUGGAAGCAUAUAUAUGCAUAACUGUUAUUUUAACAGCAGACUUAUAUUCACCUGUAAUAUUGGAUGCAUUUGUAGCUGUGGCCACACAGUCAAUAGUUUGGUGCAUGUUUUCACACACACCGAAGCUGUUUUUGAAGAAAAUAAAAAUACAGAUGAACAGGUAUUCAGAUGUAAAUUAGGAUUUGGUUACGAUUUCUGAGUGUGACAGUAACAAAAACAAAAAAAGAAAGGAUUUUUAGAAAGAGAAAACGUCCUUUGCUUUUGGCUCAAUGCGUUACGGUAUGCACUUGGUCCUCUCUCUCUCUCUACGUAUACAACACUGAUCCUUGAGCCCGUGCAGCAGAAUAAAACAAAGUCUUUGAAAUUGAUAGAACGUAAUCUAUGCGAUUUUAUUCUAAAAUUUCUAACAUAAGAUUUCGAAAAUCAUCGAAAGGAUGAACAAAUUUUGUUGCUUACAAUGUCAGAAACAAAUCGAAUCACCCAAUAUUGACCUACAAUACAAUGCCUUUUGUUGUUUAUCAGAAACAAGAUUUUUAACUUUGGCAAAAGGACAAAACAAUCGUUUGUAUCAGCUCCAUACCAACGAGUGCUUAUUUUAUCGACACCCAAGAAAAAUAAAGACAGAAUUCGGCCCCUAUCAAUAUUUGAACUCAGUACCUAAAGGGACUUGUAUUUAAUAUAUCACGUUGAAUGCUCAAUUGUUUCUGUCAACCCAUUGAUUGUAACACCCCUAUUUAACCGUUAUGUUUUGUAUUAUAUUGUAGGUUUUGAGGUUAUUAAAGAAAGAAGGGUGGCAUAUUGGUAGACAGGUUACAACUUUGAGCGAAAUAUCUCGAGAUGAUUCGUUUCGGUCCUAUAUGUUCUGUGUUCAGGCCCCACUGAAGUUAACUUUGCCUUUUAUCGCUUUGGAGUAGAUAAAAUAAAUUACCAGUUAAGUACUGGAUCGAUUCACUCAACUGUUCGCCACCGCCAAAGGCUAGCAUUAUGUCUGAAUUAUAAACCAUUAUUAAUGGCAACGAAGAUGGCGAACAGGCGAGUCGGAUAAGAUGCUUGGUGACACUUAGUGACACUUAGUGACACUUAACUAGCUAAGCUCAAAUCUUGCAGGGAUCAACUUUGCUUUUCAUCCUUUUGGGGACGAUGAGAAAAUAAAGUAAAAUACAGGGGUCGAUAAAAAAUCGACUUUUACCUUCCACUACAUUUCAGGUCUUGUUCCUAAACAAGAAACCAUUACUAAUGGUACACGGCUGCUGCUAGAAUCGAUGGAGCGCUGAGCAAAAUCCGUUACAGUAUUUGCCCCGUUCAGAUUUUAAAUCCAAUUUUGCUUUCCAUCUCUCUGGAGCCAAUAAAAUGAAGUACCAGUUAUAUACUGGUGCGAGUCUCCGUCCUUUCACACAUUUUAAGCAUUAUUAUUAUUAGAAUUCAUCAAGGCAGUGAGCUGACAGAAUCGUUAGAACACCGGGCGGUGGUAUUUCGCCCGUCGUUACGUUCUAAGUUCAAAUUCCGCCGAGUUCGAUUUUUGUCUUCCAUUCUUUCCGAGUCGAUUAAAUAAGUACUAGUUAUGUAGUGGAGUCGAGGCAAUCGGUUUAAUCUCCACCCCAAACUACCUUUGUGGCAAAAAUUUGAAAUCAUUAUUAGAAAUCAUUAUAAAGGCGGUGAGCUGGCAGAAUAAUUAACAUGCCGGAUAAAAAUGCUUAGCAGUAAUUCGUCCGUCUUUACGUUCUGAGUUCAAAUUCCGCCAAGGUCCACUCUGCCUUUCAUCUUUUUGGGGUCGAUAAAAUAAGCACCAGUUGAGUGCUGGGGUAGAUGUAUUCGACUCGUCUCCUCCCCCGAAAUUGCUGGCCUUGUGCCAAAAUCCGAAACCUUUAUUAUUAUUCCAUAGUAAUAAGGGGGCGAGCUGACAGAAUUGUUAGCGCGUCGAACAAAAAUCUUUAGCAGCGUGUCUUCCGGCUCCACGUUCAGAAUUCAAAUUCCAACGAGUUCGUCUUUGCCUUUCAUCCUUCCGGAGCCGAUAAACUUAGUACCAGUCGAGCCCUGGGGUAGAUGUAAUUGACAAGCUACCCCCACCACACCGCGCCUUCCUCGAAAAUUGCUGGUCUUGUAGCUAGAGCAGAAAGAAUUCCAUUUGUACAAACAUAUUCUUUUUCCGUUCCGAACAUUUGCAGCAGAACCGAGCACAAUUCUUUGUGUUUUGUGUCCAUAGAGUUUUGCUUCGUUUUGUUUGUUUCUCUUUGUUCUGGUUUCGAAAAUAUUCUGCGUUGUGUCUGCUGCAAUGUUUGGUCUGAUUAUUUUCUGAAUGUUGUGUCAGCAAGCGCGCCCCUGUCUGUCUGUGUGUUUGUGUGUACAGUUUAUCUGCUGCAUUAAAUGUAUACGCAUGUAUCAGUGCGCGCAUUCGUGUACGUUUUAUCUGCCGUAUUUAUCAAGAUUAAUGAGUUCUGGCUGAUAAGUUAUCAGCAAAUUUCCAUCAUGUAUAUUUAAUAUUAUCAGAAAACUAUCCAACUGCUAACAAAUCAGUAUGGAAUAAAUCAAUGGCACAGACGUUCUAUUCUCCCCGACAAUCUUCCAAUCAAUACACUGACCAGGAGAUGCUGUAGCUGUUGUUGAUGCUGUUGUUGUUGAUGUUGUUGUUGUUGAUGUUGAUGUUGUUUUACCAUUAUUAUUUCAACCUAACUUUUCCGUUUUUCGAUAUUUCUUCGGUCAUGAUAAUUUAAAGCCAUAAAUAAUUAGAUGCUUAAAAAAAUUAACUGUUGAGGGUAAAUGAUACGAUAACAUCAUUAUCGAAAAGCUAGUGACUCCUCCUUCAAAUAUAUUUAUAUGUAUUUAGACACAAGAAUACACACACAUCCACAGAUGUAUAUGUGUAUAUAUAUGUAUGUAUAUAUAUAUAGAUAGAUAGAUAGAUAGAUAGAUAGAUAGAUAGAUAGAUAGAUAGAUAGAUAGACAGACAGACAGACAGACAGACAGACAGACAGACAGACAGACAGACAGACAGACAGACAGACAGACAGAUAGAUAGAUAGAUAGAUAGAUAGAUAGAUAGAUAGACAGACAGACAGACAGACAGACAGACAGACAGACAGACAGACAGACAGACAGACAGACAGACAGACAGACAGACAGACAGACAGACAGACAGAUAGAUAGAUAGAUAGAUAGAUAGAUAGAUAGAUAGAUAGAUAGAUAGAUAGAUAGAUAGAUAGAUAGAUAUAGAUAUAUGCACACAAAUACGUAUACAGAGGUCUGUGAGCGUUUGUGACUCUGUCUUUAAAUCCCAACCAAAGCAAACUAAUAUUUAAAACGGAAUGUAUUCAUAAGCGUUGUCUUUUCCUCCGAUAAUCAGCAACACGUUCAGUCUAGACACACAGAUGCGAAUGUUUUUGUAGGUAUAUAUGCUUGUUUGUAUGUGUGUGAGUAUAUGUGACCGUAUUCACACGGACAUUUCACCGGUGAUAUUGGUCUGCUGAGUAAGACAUCCGAAAUGGGUACUUUGAAACCCUAAACAAAUUCAGAAAGCUCCCUGCCUUCGCCUUGAACUCAGAGGACUUCAUCUUCAACUCAAAUGGAUUCGCCUUUCUAGUGUUGAUCAAAUAUUCCUUUCUACUACAAAGUUUCAAGGCCUGAAAUUUUGGGAGAGGGAGUGAGUCGAUCAGAUCGACCCCAGUGUGUAACUGGUACUUUAUCGACCCCGAAAGGAUGAAACUGAGGUCGAUUUAAUCGAUUUGCCGCACCCCCACCCCCACCCACACACACACUCAUACACCAAAUUGCUGGCCUUGUGCCAAAAUUUGAAACCAAUGUAUUUAUGUCCCAUUCAAUCAACCGUUGCAUGUCAUCCUGGCAAAAUUCGAUCUUCUUCCACGUCCAAAGCAAUUAAUAUAUUUAUUAACAAAAGGAUAUUCAACAAUAUUUUCAACAUUUAUAUACUUUCUAUUUCUUUCUGUUUCCUUCUCCCACUUUCCAUUCAUCUAUCUUCUUAUCUAUUUUUACCUCUCUUUUUUCAACGUGUCAUUUGUGCUGUGGCUAUUUUGAUCAUUUAUUUGUUGGUCUCCACGCGAUUACUCGUAGGUAAUCAGACCUGAAGAUGAGCUAAGUUGGUUCAGUGUAUGUAACAAGCAUUGCUUUGCUAUGAAACGGUCGUAGUCCGUGUUUUACCUGUUACAUUCCUUACUUUCAUGGAGAUCAGUGUGUGCGCGCGCGUGUGCAUGUGUGUGCAUAUCUAUUUAUCUCUACACAUAACAUGUAUAUAUACGAGGGUGAUGUUGAAAAGUUUCUGGCUUUAAGAAUGCCGUGAAAAGCUUGGUUGGAGGCAUAACCUCCCAAGUUAUCCUGGAGGGCUUAGAAACUAAAGGACCAUUGGAAUAAGUGUGCGAAUCUAGGAGGGUAAUAUAUUGAAUAAAAUCAUAAUUAACUGAUCCUGUAGUAUUUUUUUUACCCAAAACCAGGAACUCUUGAGUACCCCUUUAUGUGUGUGGGUCUAAAAAUAAAUGUUGCCAGGAGAGUAAGGGGGCCCAACAAUGCUAUAAUUUUAUUUAUUUAUUAUUUUUUUGUUGUUAAAAGUAUUCUUUUCAACUAUCUACAAACACAGCCAGGCUGAAAUAAUUAAUGCAUUCUUCCAGGAGUGAACAAAAAAUUCUCAAACUUGAGGGGAUGGGCCCCUUAGAUACACGCUAACAUGGUUCCCCACUUGUGGAUUCUAAAGGCGCAGGGACCCACUUGCCAUCGGACAAGCUGGUAACCUGACCAGUCCGCCACUGUGUGUGUGUGUGUGUGUGUGUGUGUGCGUGUCUGUGUGUGUGUGUGUUUGUGUGCGUGCGUGCGUGCGUGUGUGCGUGCAUAUGUAUUCGCAUGUACUAACGCGUAUCAACUUUCUCUGUAUUUUUCAGUUAACACCCAAAAGAAUCAAAACUAAGAACAGCAAAACACAUCAAAAAGUGAAGAAAAAAAUCGAAAAAGCGAAAACCCAAAUAUCAAAAAGAAAAACUCCCAAAGAAGCUCGCCAACCCGCAAAGAAACCCAACAAAAUUGGAUAUCAUUGGAGGACUAAAACACCCAGUCAUUAACGCGGGGAUUAAAUGAAAAAAUGCUAUCACGCAAAGCGCAAGCGGAGAGAGGAGUAUACAUUUAGAGGUGUCAUAUUGAUAAUCCGG
rnacentral:lncRNA from 1 species